rnacentral:lncRNA from 1 species
ACUCUAGACGACAAUUUGCCAUUUCAGAUCCAUGCUUAUGUAUGAAAUUAUCCAGAGAUCCAUUAGGCAUGAACUCAUAAAUCAAAGCUGUUUUGUCCCUCUCGUAACAGAAUCCAUAAAGAAUGACUAUGUUGACAUGGGAGGUUCUACCAAUGCUAUCAACUUCAUUAAUAAAGGCUUCUCCAUUACCCUUGGACUCGCUUAGGACUUUGACCGCCACGAGAAGGCCAUCUGGUAGCCUGCCUUUGUACACGGUUCCAUAUCCACCUUUACCUAUUUUAUCUUUGAAAGAGUCUGUCAUUUUCUUGACGUUUGCAUAGGUAUACCGCUUUGGAGUAACCGAUCCAUAGUUCCUUAUAAAUGCCUCAACAUCAAACUCAUCCCUUUUAUCUCUCUUGAGGAAGGCCAGCCUUCUUUUCCUUGAUAUGCAUAUAGUAAAAAAAAUGAUUACGAUGAUCAGCAGAACAGCAACUGCAAUGCUUGCAUGGAAAAAUUGUUCAAGUUAUGCAUUUCAGUGAUUUGUGAAAGAAAGCAAAGAUUGAAACUUCUGGUAUUUUGUCUUUAUCAUUGUUAGGGAGUUACCACCACAAUCAUGACAUUCAAUCAUAGUUAUGCCUAUUCAAGGAGUAUUUUCGUUACAUUGUUAUUGUAUCUUAAUUAUAGCUUUAUUGUAUUGUAAUUACAGCAUUUAGGUUUGAUAUAAUUACUACACUACCGUUGUAAACCAUUUAGCUACCUGUAUAUAAAGCCUGUACUGGUGAAUUGCAAAUAUAUGAAAGCAUCUCUUUUCUACAUGGUAUCAAGAGCCUAGGCAAUUUAUUCUUUUUUUUCUCUUAUCCUCUUUCUCUACUCUCAUGGCCAAUACUAUAGCCUCCUCUUCUUCUUCUCUCACUAGUCCUACUCUUCCCUUUAACAUCUCUUCCUUUGCCUCCUAUAAACUUUCAGAAUCCAACUUUUUACUUUGGGAAAGUCAACUCAACCAUUAAAGAUUAAAUCGUGAACACAAAAUAAAAAAUGAAAUGGUUAUCAAACCAAUCCAAAGUGUGUCACACGUCCCUCCUCAUUGUCUUAAAGAUUGUGGUUAGUCCUAAGCCCGUUUGAAAAACCGAAGCAACCAAAAACUCGUGCCAAAGUAAAUGAAUCUAUGAAACAUUGAGAUCCUAACACUAGGGAAGUAGUGCAAUGGUCUUCCAAAGAGGGAUUAAAAGCAAAACAGUGCAUAAAAGGCUAUUCCUCUGUUUGGUGUCAUCAAAAUCAACAUAGGAGUUAAGGUAACAAAACCAGAAGACAAAGAAGCCAUUUUUGGAUACUGAGCACUCAAAACACUACCUAAAAAUUGCCCAAAACUACUAGUAGUAAAUUAUACAAAACCCAAGAGAAAAAAAAACCAAUCAAAACUUCAAAGACCGUUGAAAAUACCUUUCUUUUUCACCAAGACACUGAGCGCAUUGAUUACCAUAAGGGUUGGUAUAGUUAACAGUGAAGCCUUCAUUGAUCGCUUCCUGAAACAUCGACCGAUUGGCGAUGAGCUGCGCCGCCAUGGUUUUGAGAAUCGGCACCGUAAUUCCAAUCUCACACCUGAAAGUGCUCAUAAUCGGGUCCAUCGGGACCGGCCCGAUCAAGUAGUAAGAGCCGUUGAAAUCCAGAUUGUUGCAGUGGAACCAAUUCGCGAGCUUCGGGGUAGUGAUCGUCGAAUUGCAGCCGUAAAAAAUGGACACGUCCAUGUCGUCGCUCUCGUUGUAGGCGAAGAACUCGGAUUUCAUAGUUGAGUUGAAGACCUUGUCUGUGCAGGUCGAGGUGCAGCGGUCUGAGCGGGCCAGCUUCAGAUUCCGACGAACCGGGUCGAGUUGGAGAACUCGGUAACUCAGCGACGAGAUGGUCAGCUCCGGCAAGUCGUUUCACGCAGUUGAUAUGGAACUCCGGCGGGCCGCAGUAGGCCGGGCGGGACAGCCCGGUGAACGGGUACGAGAGGUUUCGAAGCGGGCCGCAGUCGAAGGCUUGGCAGCAGUUGGAGAGGUUUGCAUUCGAGGGAAACGACGUCGUAACCUUGACGGAGUAGAAGAAGAAGAGGAGGAGGAAGAGUGUGGGUGCAUUAUGGAAGGGGCGGGAAAACGACGGCGUUUGGGUGUGGAGUGGGCGAGGCGGGCAGUGGUUUAGAGAGUUGAGUGAUGAUUGCAAUGAGGUUUUGCUUUGAUCAUAUGGUCGGCGUUUGUUGACUUGGACUGCUGUGGGUGGACAGUGCACACAGCUUUUGAUAUGUGUUAUCUUUUUUACUUUAUGAGUUUUUUCUGUUCAAAUUGAUAGGUAUUAUUGUAGUAACUCAAGGAAUUAAAAUGAUUAUUUGUUUAUGUAUUUAUUUAUUGAGUGUUAUUUCUAUAUUGUACGGACACCUUGGGUGUCGCAGUGUCACGCCGACACGGUCAUGAGCCACGACAGGGAUUUUUUUUGCAAUUAUAAAAAUAAAAACUCUUAUCUCAGAGGAUGAAGAGAUUGAAGAUGCUGAAUGUGGGAGCAUAUGUUUUCGUCUCCAAUCAGGGCACGCCACGUGGAAAAGAAGAUUAUCUCUUUAAUUAAUUAAUUAAACCAGUUUAUCUGACUAAUUAAUUAAUUGGGAUAAAUAUCUUAAUUAAUAUGAUAUUAUCUUUAUUUAAAUAGAUAAUAUCAUUAAUUAAGAUAUUAUCCUAAUAAAGAGAAGAUAAUAUCAUUUAAAUCAGAUAUUAUCUUUUUAAGAGAUAAUAUUAUUUAAUUCAGAUAUUAUCUUCUUAAGAGAUAAUAUAUAUUUAAUUUAGAUAUUAUCAGGCCCAACUGGAUUCCUACGAAACCUUAGCCCCGAGGCUCCUAUAAAUAGACAACCUCAUUCAUCAUUCAAGGUACAUCUAAACCUACUCCUUAUACCCGAGAAAAAUACCCGAAGCUCUCUCUCCCUCUCCACUCUCCAUAUUUUCUCCCCACGGCUCCGGCCACCCGGUUUACACCCUACAUAAAACUCUGUACCCUUUGCUUAGCUAUUGUUUUCCUACAAACACUCGAACUAACUUAGGCAUCGGAGGGCCUUUGGCCAACACCCCCGGGUGUGGUCUAUUUGCUCCAGUCUUUUUUACAGGAAUCGAGGAAGAGAGAGAAGGAAGAUCGAAGGUUGAAGGAUCCAGAAGCGAAUAUUCUCCCGUGAGAUUAUUUGCACAAACACUGAACAUAGAAGCCUCUGCUUGAAACUUUCCCGAUUGAGAACCAGAGAGAUUGAGAAAAAAAUAACCAUAGAAGGGAGAGAGAGAGAGAGAGAGCUGAACUCACCCACAAUCACAGUUUCAACUUCCCCGACAGCAUAAAACAAACAAGGCAAACGGGUAAAAAGGAAGAUGUGGAGGAGGUGGGUUGCGAUGCGAGAGAGAGAGAGAGAGAGAGAGAGAGAGAGAGAGAGAGAACAGAAAAAGAAUGGAGAGGUGGGGUUGGGUCUCUUGGUGAUGGGACCUUUUUUUGUUUUAGAUAAUUUUAGGUUUUUUUUUAAUGAUUAAAAAUAUUAUUAUAUGUUUUUACUACCAUAACCCUUUUUAGAAGGGAUGAAAAGUAUAAGAAACGGGUGAAAGUGAUAUAUUAAUGGCAGUUUCAUUUCUUAAAAUUCCUCAUCAAAAUUAUUUUUAUUGAAAACAAGUGUAUUUACAGUAUUGAGUGUAAAUUAUUUUUUUAAUAUAUAUAAGUUUAUUAUUAUUUUAAUUGUCAUGUCCUAGCCGUGUCCAUGUCCUAGUUUUUUGAGAUUUUCUGUGUCGCCGUGUUGCGUUUUCAUGUUCUUGUACUCAUGUUCGUGCAACAUAGACUAAGGUCAUUCCCAAUGGUAGGAGCUUUAAAAGAGGUUGAUAGAACCCCAUUUAGAACUUCGAUGGAAUCUUUGGGGCUCUAAAGGCAUCUCUCCCACAAUGGGAGACUCUAUAUUCGGGAAUCCAUUUAUGAUGUAAUUUGAUUUAUGUGAUAUUUGUUAUUUUUGUUAAUUUAUUAUGUUUUAAUGUAUGUUUAUGUUAUGUUAGUUUCUUUUUUUAACAUUUCAACCCAAAAAAAUUAAAAUUUGGACAAAGAUUUUAAAAAGAGUAAAGAACAAAAACUAGCUAUUUAUUUCUAUAAAAAAAUGAAGACUUUCAUUUGAAAAGAAAAUGAAACGGUAGAAAAAAGGAUAGUACAAAAAUAAUUUUUUUUAUGUGCUAGCAGGCCCAGCGCAUGUGGUUUGGUAGGAGGGUAUGUGGGGGCCACUCGGACUCAAGGGGCUACGUCCACGUCCACAAAUUUGAGGACAGCUCCAGCGGAUCUUUAGCAUUUAGAGUCCAAAAUAUCUCCCAUUAGAGCAUUUCCAGCAGUUAGCCUCUUGCCAUGGCAAGGAGAGCCCUAGGACAGCUACUAUUCACGUGAAUAUCCUAGCCCCCCAGCAAAAUGUGUUCGCAGCAGUUGCCCUUUGCCAUGGCAAAUACUAUUCAUUUUUUUGUUUUUUUCACAACUUUGUUUACUUAAACAAUUAAUUUGGAUAAUAUUUUCACUUAAGAUUUUAUUUUAUUUGUUGUAUUUUAUUUUAUUACUUGUAUUGGUUGGUAUUUAUAGAAAAAAAAAAUGUAUGAGGAUUUGGUGUUAAAAAUAUUGACUAAGUAUGAAAAAUGGUUUUUCGGAAUAAUCAUUUUUUCAAGAUAAUUUUUGGCAACUUUUAUUCCUUACACAUCAAAUAAGAAAACUUGAUUUUAUGGAAUUUUAGUAUGAAGUGUAUAUUGACUUAAUGAGCCAUUAUUUUUAGCCUAAAUCGUAUUUUGCACUAAAACCGAUUUUUUAUAUUUUGAUUUGGUGGGAAUUUGAUUUUCUAGUAUUUUUAUUUGAAUCCAAAUGGGGGGUACUUCCUUAUUUACAUUGUAAACUUAAGUAAAUUGAGUAAUAUAAAAAUAAAUGAAAGUAAAAGGACAAAGACAAAGACAUUUACUUUUUUUUUUUUUUUUUGAGGUCCUUUCCUAUUGAAAGGGGCGAUAGCAUAUUAAACUCACACACACAACACAGAUGCUAGGACUCGAACCCAGGACCUUGCCUGAGAGAGUAAAUACUCCAAACCACUACACUAGUGGGUUCGACAAAGACAUUUACUUAAAUGCUGAAAAUGAAAAUAAGGUAUAGAGAAAAAACAAUCAGUAAUUUUUUGGUAUUUUUUUUUAAAACAUUUCCAUUUUUUUAUUGCACAAAAAUUGGUUGCCGUUGGAUUGCUAGAAAAAAUCUGAUUGGAGAGCCCAGAGCGCCCCAUGUGGACGAGGGCACUGUAGCGGCGUGUUCAAAUGCCUUUUUGGCAUUAGGCUGCAUAUAUGAGAGUUCUAUGGCGAUUAAGCCCAAAUAAUAGAGCCUCCAUUGGGGAUGGCCUAAUAACUAGAUUUAGGGUGUAUCCAGUUCAAACUUUUAAUAACUUUUAUAGAAUUUAAAGUCUAGAGGUAUUCAAUUUAGAUUUUUAAAGAGUUUAUAAAAGUCUAGUAGUAUUAAAUUGUGACUUUUAAAAGAUAGUUAAAAGUAUUUAAGGGCCCGUUUGAUAUUUGAUUUUAGUCUAAUUUUAUAAAUUCAAAAAUAGAUUUUAAGUUCAAAGUCCCAAAAACUCGUUUGGCAUGCACAUUUUUUAAAACCCAAACCUAAAACAAACUCAAAAACGACGCCUAUUAUUGAAAAAAAAAAAAUUUGUUGUAAAGAAAGUGUAAAGGAAAAGAAGGAAGAUUAGUCAAAAGCUUAAUGAUGGUGUUGGAAGCUUAGUCAAAAGCUUAAGGAUGAUGUUGGGUAAUGAAGCCAUCCAAUUUUCCUAUAAAUAGGCUUGCUCAUUCACUUGUAAAAUACACCAAUGGAGAAGAGAAGAGAAGAGAAAGAAGAGAAAGGAAGAGUGAGACGAAACAAAAGAGAAUGAGUUCUAUCUGAGAGGAAAUUCUGUCAGUGUAAACAUCACAAGAGCAAAUACAAUUCUACUCCUAAUAUUCAGUGGUACUUUUCAUACUCUAUUAUUUUUAUUUUUAUAACAAAAUUUAAGUUUUUUCUUGAAAUUUUGUAUCGCUUCGGUACUGGUUCGCUUGAGGAGCUCGCUUCUCUGCUGGUUCCCUCGAGCUCGCUCAAGCUUCAAGUUUCCAUAGCAGAAGCUUGAAGCUCUCUUGCUACCUCUCUCUCCAUCUCUCUCUUCGUCCCUCUCUCCCAUCAGUUCAAACCCUAAAAAUUUGGGAUUCUUCCAAUAUCAAAGUUAAGUUUGCCUUUUCUAUUCCUUUUGUCUUUUGGAUUCUGGAAUUUUUUUUGGAUAAAUGGGUUUUGUUUGUUGGUACGUUUCUAUUUAAAUUUUAUAAUGAGUUUCUUUUGUGUGGUAGAUAGAACCACCUUGCUUUUGGAUACCAAGGGCUUUCAAGGUUGAGAGGUACAAAGACAAAGAAAUCUUUAGGGUUGAAGCUGAAAGGGGAGACUCUAGUGGAUCCAAAGAUCUCGGCCAGGUUCAUCUUCUUCUUGAAUUAAACCAACUCUAAAUUUUUUUUUGUCUUGUGUAAUUUUAAUAUGUUAUUGUUGACAUUCAUCGUGAUGAUGAUGGUGAGGGUUGAGGAAGAUAAUGAAUCUACUAUUCAGCUGUUUCAUUUUCACCAAGCGAACUUUCUUACAAUUCAGCUGGAAUUUGCUAAUUAAUAUAGAUGUGCUGAUUUAUAUAUAUAUAUAUAUAUAUAUAUAUAUAGAGUUCUUCUCUAAUGCCGACGUCCACAUUUUGUUAAACUACGGUUGUCCACAAAUUUGUCAAUAUAUAUAUAUACAACCGUAGUUUAACAAAAUACGGACGUACGCAUUAGAGCAAAACUGUCUCUCUCUCUCUAUAUAUAUGGUUGUGUCAACCAUGAUUGUGCCAAGUUUUCAAUUGUGGGUCUUUUGAACAUAUUUAUAUACGUAACUUUCCUAGCUCUAGGAGGGUUGUCUGUUUGGGACAGAUGCUCUGCUGUAAGUUGCUUCUAAGAAGAAGGGCACACAUUUCACACAACACAAAGGAGAGACAGACAUGAGACAGAGGCCGGAUUCUGAGUUCUCAUCUAGCAACUCACUAACUUCCAUAAUUUAACAGCAACCCUUAAUUUAAGUAGUUUAAAAAAUUUGCGAUAAUUUAACGUGCAUACCUGAUUCAAAGUUCUUUGAACACGUGGUUGCAUGGGCCUUAUUUUGGCAAAAGCAAAUGAAUCUACUAUCAGUAGAGUUGCACCCACACUUUCCUCCUGAUCCCUCACAUCUGCUGCAUUGAUCAUUAUCAGUCUUCAAUCCCAAUUCUAACACAUCAUUGAUAUCCUUUUCAUUGUUCUCUAGAUCCUUUGCAGCUGUGUCAAAAACUGGAACAUGAACAACACUCUCACAGUUCAUCAAAUCAAUCACGGUACUUCCCGUGGCAUACGAAACACUAAUGUUUCUCUUGUAUGCAGGGCAAUCCUGCGUAAUAACAGUCCAUGAAGCCGGUGUACUGCAUCCGUUAAUGAAAGGUCAAGUUUGUGAGACUGGAACUAUAAUAAAAUAGAGAGAAGUUGAUGUCGGUGUCAACAAAACUCAGGGAACAGAUAGUGCCCCAGUCAACCUGGGUUUGAGGUCAACCUGGGUACCCCGAUAAUCUGUCAGCAACUGUCACAGUAUGAGUACUGGAGUUCAUUUCCAGAAUUCUGAAUUUGAUGUUCUUCGUGGUGAUCAUUGGGAUAUUACCUUCACAUUUGACCUCAAACCCAGGUUGACCUCAGUAACUUUGUCGAUUUACUCCCCAAAAGGGGUACGAGACGUUUUUGAUAUCCCUGCAGUUAAUAGCUUGGCUGCAGUUAACAUAUUGUGGAUCAUCUGCACAUAGACAUAGCUGAAGGUUGAUUGAAAUAAAGCAGGUGAUCAAUAGGAAAGGAAGCAGAGAGUGAAGAACAAGGGACUGCAUCUUUCUUAGACGAAAGUCAGAGUAAACCACAGGCAUUAUAACAGGAAAGGAUGUUCUGAUAAAGGAAAUGCUCUGUAUAUUAUCAAUAUUGUAGUGCCAAGUCUUGAACUAUAGGCCUUUCAAAUGUUCAAGGAAUGAAAUUGAAGUCUUUCAUUCAAAUUUUACUAUAAAAUUAAAUCUUCAAUUUCGACCAUUGAAAUCUUAAUCAAUGAAUUCAUAAAAAGAAAAAAAGAUCAUAGAAAUGAUAUAGUCAAGGAAAGAGAUGUAGACAUCACAAUUUCAUAUUUCUGUAUGGUGGUUUAGUCAUAAGUAGGCAAGAUUUUGCAGUUCUCCUCUUGCAAUUUCUGAACUUCUGACACACGGUAACUUUGAUGGCCAUAAUGUUUGUUUUAAUUUGGUUUCUAAUCAGAGUGAAAGGAGACCAAUGCUUCCAAAAGAGGACAUAAAUUAAAGUUUACACAAUUGUCAGGAAAUAAAACAGAGCACUUCGUUGAGAAGACAAUGUGACAUAUUAAUACAAUGUCAACCAGUAUGCAGAUUGUCUUGCCAUACAUAGACAUUUCGGAUAAUGAAAACUGUCUCAUUUUCACCAAGCCAACUUUCUUAUAAUUCAGUUGGCAUUUCCUAAUUACAAGAUAUCUGCUGAUGAAACUAAUUGCCCUAGUCAGUUUCAGACGGUUGGGUUGUGGUCAUAGAGUCCUCUGCAGCUAUUGUAGGAGAAGAUAAGAAAGGCUUUGGUGCAAUUUGCAAGGAAUGAAGGGGUCCUUCCAACAUCUCUCCAACUUUGCUCAUUGAUGGCCGAUCAGAAGGAAUGGUCUGAAUGCACCACAGGCUUAUUAAAGUCAGCUUUCUUGCCACUUCUUCUUCCUCCUCAGGUAUAUCCCCAAAUAUAUGUUCAGCCUUGUGUAAACAUAAUUUGGGAACAUUUCGCUCGUAUGAGUCACUCCCGAAUCCAAAUUCUUUCUUGCUCCAACCAUGUCAAGAAUCAACAUCCCGUAGCUGUACACAUCAGAUUUGUGAGAUACGCCUCCAAAGUUCCGACUAAAAACUUCUGGUGCUAUGUAUCCUGCAGUUCCUCUCGCACCUAACAUCGAUACAAUACUCUCCUUUGUUUUGCAUAAUUUGGCAAGGCCAAAAUCAGAGAUUUUUGGGCAAAAAUCUUUGUCCAACAGAAUGUUCCGUGGCUUUAUGUCAAAAUGCAGAAUUCUCGUGUUACAACCACGGUGUAAGUAUUCUAGUCCUCGAGCAAUGCCAACUGCAAUUUCAGAUAGUGUUUUCCAUUCUAAGCGACGAUUUUCCAUUUCAGAUCCGUGCUUAUGUAUGAAAUUAUCCAGAGAUCCAUUAGGCAUGAAUUCAUAAAUCAGAGCUCUUUUGUCCCUCUCGUAACAGAAUCCAGAAAGAGUGACUAUGUUGACAUGGGAGGUUCUACCAAUGCUAGCAACCUCAUUAAUAAAGUCUUCUCCAUUACCCUUGGACUCGCGUAGGACUUUGACUGCCACGAGAAGGCCAUCAGGUAGCCUGCCUUUGUACACGGUUCCGUAUCCACCUUUACCUAUUUUAUCUUUGAAAGAGUCUGUCAUUUUCUUGACGUUUGCAUAGGUAUACCGCUUUGGAGUAAGUGAUCCAUAGUUCCUUAUAAAUGCCUCAACAUCAAACUCGUCCCCUUUAUCUCUCUUGAGGAAGGCCAGUAUUCUUUUCCUUGAUAUGCAUAUAGUAAAAAGAAUGAUUAUGAUGAUCGGCGGAACAGCAACUGCAAUGCCUGUAUGGAAAAAUUGUUCAAGUUAUGCAUUUCAGUGAUUUGUGAAAGAAGGCGAAGAUCGAAACUUCUGGUAUUUUGUCUUUAUCAUAUAUACUCACCUAUGGCGAUUGCUUUCCGUGAACCUGCACAAAAGAAAUGUUAAAUCAUAAGAGUUCUUCGGAUCAAAAUUUGCAAGACCAAGGUAUAUCAUGUGCUUCUUCAACUGCAUCAGUCAUUUUCUUUUCUUUUCAGUGGACAAAUAGAAAAAGCAGUUGCAACCAAUCUAAAGCAUGCAAGAGAUUGAAGAUUAAAUCGUGAACACAAAACUGAAAAUGAAAUGGUUAUCAAACCAAAUCCAAAGUUUAUCACAUGUCUCAUCUCAUCGUCUUAAAGAUUGUGGUUUGUCCUAAGCUCGAUCGCUCCAUUCAUUAGAGAGAUAGUUAUUUUCCGUGCUCUUCUCUCUUCCAUAAAAAACUAGUCAGUUUUCUCUCUAAACACUCUUUGUUGGUAUGAUUUCCAGUUGACGACCGAUUUCAAUUGUUAUGUACGUUCUAGUUCAAUUUAUAUUCUAGUUUGUCCAAAUCGAGAUAUACUUAGUCCGAUCUCACAAUUCAUCGUUUCUCAUCAGUCCAUUCGGACUCAAUCGCUUUUGGGUUUGUAAUGUCAAUUUAGACAUAGUUUCAUGAGCAGUAAAGAUUACAAUUCAGUCCCAUCGCUCUUGUACUAAUCUAUUUGUUUAGUUUUCGAAUUGCGUUCACUUUCAAGUUUUUGUUUUCAGUUUUGUUACCCUCUCCCUCUCAUUCCCUCUCGCAGUGUCAUCCUUACUCCCAUUCUCACUCUCAUUGUCCCCUAUACUAAGAUUCUUAGGCAUGACAAAGCUAUGCCUGCACUUUUGGUUGGCGAUCAAAGUAAACUCUCUCUUUCAAUGGAAAGGAUUAACAUAGGACAGAACUAAACUUAGCCACAAUAUCUAAGAUUCUUAGGCAUUCCAGUGACCUGUUGUCUAAAAACAUAAUUAGACAUAUACCUCGACAGUUAGAGGGAUUAAGACCAAAAAGAUUAUAUAUAUACAGGCGCAUGCAUACGUGCACAGUUUGAGGGAUUAGGUCAAACUCAGCUUUAGUUGUGUUGUACCCAACUGUAGUUGUAUUGUACCCGCACUGACCACCGGAUCUGUGACAUUGCUUACACAAGUUAUUACUUGCAUCCCAUGUCAAACCAAACCCAGAAUCAAAAACAGCAACUGGAUUGUCCUUGGUCGAAUUCAUCACCAAAUUCGCACCCGCUGAUUGCGAAACGAGGGGAGUGACAGUCGAAGGCUUGGGAGCAGUUGGAGAGGUUUGCAUUCUAGGGAAACGACUUCGUAACCUCGAAGGAGUAGAAGAAGAAGAGGAGGAAGAGUGGGUGCAUUGGGGAAGGGGCGGGAAAACGACGGCGUUUGGAUGUGGGGUGGGCGAGGCGGGAAGUGGCUUAGAGAGUUGAGUGAUGAAAUGCAAUGAGGUUUUGGUUUGAUCAUAUGGCCGGCGUUCGUUGACUUGGACUGUUGUGGGUGGACAGUGCACACUGCACACGGCUCUUGAAUAUUUUGGAGGCUGCUGACCAAAUAUGUUAUCUUUUUUACUUUAUGAGUUUUUUCUGUUCAAUAAUUGAUGGGUAUUUUAGUAAUUCAAGGAAUUAAAAUGAUUAUUUAUUAUUUAUUUAUUAGAUUUAGUAAGACUCCUGGUCAACUUCAAAGGUAGAGUCAAACUGUGUGAACGUCAAACGAGCAAUUUUUCAAAAGGGUAGUUGAUGAAUUAGAUUUGGAGGGCGGCUCUGUUUUUUGAUGCAGAAAUUAUUAUAGCUUAGUUUUGUCUGAAAAUUCCUUCCUAUUGUUUUUUAGGACUUUUUUCAAUUUGGAAGGAGAAUAACAUACUAAACUCACACACAUUACAUGGGUGCUACGACUCAAAUCCAGAACGUUUUUUGGAGGAGCAAUUACUCUAAAGCACUACAUUAGUGAAAUUUUUGCUAAACUCACACACAUUACAUGGGUGCUACGACUCAAAUCCAGAACGUUUUUUGGAGGAGCAAUUACUCUAAAGCACUACAUUAGUGAAAUUUUUGCUAAAAAUUUCUAUUUUUAAUACAUGAAUUAUUUACAAAGUAUUCACGAAAGCAUAUUAUAAUAUUGGAAUUGUGUAGCUCCACACAAGCUAUAGGUGUGGUUUGGUAUUAAAUAUACUGAUGCCUUCUGUGAAUUUGUACUAGAAGAUGCAGCAGGAGCUGCAAAAGAACUCAAUCUUGCACAAAUCUUGCACCCAUCUAAGAAAAUUCUAUUUGUCUAUCAAAACUAAUUUCAUCAUCUUCUGAGACCCCACUCAAAAAAACAAUCUUGCUUUGGCCCCUCACUUGUUUCUAGACCAGACUAUAUACUAAAAGAAAACAGAGGAAACAAGAAGUAGUUAGCCUAAACGCUAGAUUUCUAUAUAACUCUCUAACCUGAGCCAAAGCCCUUUGGCAUUGGUUGCUAAGAAGGAGGGUUUGCCAUGGUGAAGGGAUUGAAAGUAGCAUAAAGACCCACAUAUGACAUGUAGGUGUUUGAUAAAAAGCCCCAAAGACAAGGAAUUAAGACAAAAAAGAUUACAAGCGCAUGCAUACCUGCACAGUUUGAGGGAUGAGGUCCAUCCUUGCAAUAGCAAGUGAACUCAGCUGUAGCUGUAUUGUACCCGCACUGACCACCAGAUCCGUUACAUUGCUUACACAAGUUAUUACUUGCAUCCCAUGUCCUGGAAUGAGAUCACCGGGGCGUCCCCGGUGCAGUUCAACUUGAAUUCCGGGUAGCCACAAUAAUUGGGCCGGCUUGAUCCCCAAAAAGGGUAACCAAUAUUCGGAAAAUUUGCGCAUUGAGACGAAGCGCUGCACUUGAGGUAUUGCUCAUCAUCCUCCUCACCCAAAGAUCUUGGAAUAUACAAUAGGCAUAUAGUACUUGUGAUCACAAGGAGAAAAGAGAUCUUUUGGAAGGGAUAGAGAUUCAUUUUCAGAGAGAGAGAGAGAGAGAGAGAGAGAAGUAAUUAGAGUUUGAGAAGGGAAAAGAUGAAGCAAUUAUGUUCAUCAAGAUCUCACGGUGCACGUUAGAGUCAACGUCGACUUAUUGAUUGGUGAGUAUAAUAAGACUUAUCUCUUGUUUUGCCGGAAAGUUUUUUAUGUUUAAUACUCAAGAAACAUUUCUUUUUCUUCUUAACAUGGAAUUACCAGGAAAUUGGUCAGGCUUUCAACUGAAGUCAACACGUAUAAUUGGUCAGGAUUUAUAUUACAUGUUUUUCUUUUUUGGAUUAUGAAAAGAUUAUACAUGUUCUCCAUCUUAAAAUUGAAAAUCAACACUUAUAUACCGAUAUGUCUUAAGCUUACACGCAAAGGCUUUGAUGUGGUCAUAGAGUCUUCUAUUUCAGAUGGUUGAGAUGUGGUCAUAGAGUCUUCUGCAGCUAUUGUAGGAGAAACCAACAAGGGCUUUGGUGCAAUUUGCAAGGAAUGAAGGGGUCCUUCCAGCAUCUCUACCACUUUGCUCAUUGAUGGCCGAUCAGAAGGAUUGAUCUGAAUGCACCACAGACUUAUUAAUACCAUCUUUCUUGCUAUUUGUUUUUCCUCCUCUGUGGUUGCCCCAAAAGCAUUCUCAUCCUUGUCUAGCUCUAGAUCUUUAUAAACGUAAUGCGGAAACAUUUCACUUGUAUGAGACACUGCCGAAUCCAAAUUCUUUCUUGCUCCAACCAUUUCAAGAACCAACAUCCCAUAGCUGUAAACAUCACAUUUGUGCGAUACGCCUCCAAAGUUCCAGCUAAAUACUUCUGGUGCGAUGUAUCCUACAGUUCCCCUUGUCCCCAGCAUCGAUACGAUACUCUCCUUCGUUUUGCACAAUUUGGCAAGGCCAAAAUCAGCUACUUUUGGGCAAAAAUCUUUGUCCAAAAGAAUGUUCUGUGGCUUUAUGUCAAAAUGCACAAUUCUGGUGUUACAUCCGCGGUGUAAGUAUUCUAGUCCUCGGGCAAUGCCAACUGCAAUUUCAGAUAGUUUUUUCCAUUCUAAGCGAGAAUUUUCCAUUUCAGAUCCUUGCUUACGUAUGAAAUUAUCCAGAGAUCCAUUAGGCAUGAAUUCAUAAAUCAAAGCUCUUUUGUCCCUCUCAUAACAGAAUCCACAAAGAGUGACUAUGUUGACAUGGGAAGUUCUACCAAUGCUAGCAACUUCAUUAAUGAAGUCUUCUCCAUUACCCUUGGACUCACUUAGGACUUUAACUGCCACCAGAAGGCCAUCAGGUAGCUUUCCUCUGUAUACUGUGCCAUAUCCUCCUUUACCUAUUUGAUCUUUGAACCAAUGAGUCAUCUUCUUCACAUCGGAGUAACUAUACCGCUUUGGGGCCAUCCAUCUAUUAUUUGUUAUAACUUCCUGGAUGUCAAUCUCAUUCUUCUUAUAUUUCUUGAAGAAAAGCACUUCUUUUUUUGAUGCGUAUACCAUACAAACAAUGAAAACAAUGGCGGAAGUUACACCCGAUAAAAUCCCUAUAAAUUCAAAAAUAUUUUCAAGUUAUGCAUUUCAUUAUUUGUGAAAGACAAAAGCAUCUCAAUACCGUAAAGAAAUAAAAGCAAUAGAAUAAAGUGAUACUGAAAUUAAACCUGGAACAAAAUACUUGUUUCUUUAUACUUCACUCUUCUUCUUGUAUUUUUAUUUAGAGAUAUUUAGUCAUAUACUCAUUCUUAGCACUAAUGAUAUAGAUAAACCUUACACCAUUAAUCUCUAUAAACAAACCCAAAAACUGACAGUUGACCCUAUUGAAUUGAAAUUUUGAUUAUUAAAUUACUUGGAUGCCCUGUUGAGUUAUUUGAGCUUUUUUUUAUAAUGAGGUUUUAGAGUUGGGCUUGUUUUAAGAAAUAGAUGACAGUUUUAUAAUUUAUAGGAAGUUAAAAGCCUCUUUGUUAUGUUGUAAGUGAUCUUUGGAUGUAUUUUUAAAGUCCAUUUCAUAUAGGUUUUUUUAUAAUUCGGAUUCCUAUAUUGGGUUAAUAGUAAAUCUACCCUUAAUUUAUUAUAGUGAGUUAGAUGAUAGUUAAGCUCCUAGUCAUUUAAAGCAGUCAUGUAACUUUGAAAUGUAUUUUGGAGGGCUACCAUUUAAUAGUUACUGAAUCAAGGGCUAGAACGAAACAAAGGAGCCAAGCAGAGUUACCUAUCGCUAUAUUUUCUCCUGCAACAAUCACAAGAUAGAGAAAUCUUAAUCAAUAAAUGAAUAUAUAUAAUCCAUUGAUAAAAAAAUAAUAAUAAUAAUAAAAAACCUUGCCAACAGAUAUUUUUUAGUUACAUGUUAAUAAUUUCACUAAAUCUAGUCACUUGUUGCCAAAGGUUCGCAAUUUGAGAACAUGGCAUUUUUUUCUCUAUAAAUUUAUUAAAAUAUUCAUUAAUCAAUUUAAAAUCAAUAAGAAUAAUCCUGUCGUUUUAAUUUGACACUGGGACAAAGAGGAAAGCAAAGUAGGUUCGCAAAACUAAAAGAAGAGAAAGUCAAAACACUACGUAAAAAUUUCCAGAAAUUUCUAAUUUACGACGACUUACUGUUGUUAUCUUUCUAAAUCAUACCCGUAAAAUAAAAAAAGAAAAUAUAAAGUCAACAAUUCCUAGUUAGUUGUCAUUGAUGGUCACUGUUCACACUUCCAUUAUAAUUUAAUGGCAUGUGUGAAAAAUCUCCUCUCUUUAUAAUUUAAACUAUUAUUUAUAUAUUAAAAAAAAAAAGAAUUAUUAUUAUUUGUACUAAAAAAUUAUAAAAUGAAGAAAAAAAUUUAAACUUGAAGUACGUAUACUAUUGAUAUUGAAUAUGGUACCUGACAUGACACAAACCCGAUCCCCACAAAAGCAAACGGGCUUGCUCGAAUGGGAGUCAAACCCACAGCCCCCAUUUACUUCAAGACAUUUAGCGCAUUCAUCAUCAUAAGGGUGGGUAUAGUUAACAUUAAAGCCUUCCAUGAUCGCUUCCUGAAACAGCGACCUAUUGGCAAAGAGCUUCGCAGCCGCGGUUUUGAGAAUCGGCACUGUAGUUUCAAUCUUACACUUGACACCGCUCAUAAUCUGGUCGAUCGGGAUCGUCCAGAUCAAGUAAUAAGAGUCUUUGAAAGACAGAUUGACGUUGCAGGGAAACCAAUUCUCGGGCUUGGGGGUAAUAGUAGAGGAAUUACAGCCGUAGAAAAUGGACACCACCGCGUUGUCGUUCUCAUUGUAGGCGAAGAACUCGGAUUUGAUAGUUGCGUUGGCGAGUUUGUCUGUGCAUGUCGAGUUCCAGAGGUCUGAGCGGACUAACCUUAGACUUUUGUGAACUGGGUCGAGUUCGAGAACUCGGUACCUCAGCGACAUGAUGGUCAGCUCAGGCGAGUCGUCCACGCAGCUGAUGUGGAACUCCGGUGGACCACAAUGGGCAGGGCGCGCCCCACCAGUGAACGGGAAUGAGAGGCCUUGGAGCGGGCCACAGGCGAAAGUCUGGGAGCAGACGGAAGGGGUUUCCUUUGGCUGGAUUUCUUUAGCCUGUGUGUCCUUAGACGAAAAGGGUGUCGCGGCGUCCACGGAGUAGAAGAAGAAGAGGAGAAGGAGGAGGGUGAGGAUGGGAGAGAGGAGGAUUGGGUGCAUUUUGGACGGGGGUGGGAGUGUUGUGGGCUUGUUGGUAAAUGCCAAUAGAGAUUAAAUACAGGUUUGAUGAAGAACGCGUUGAUUAACUACAACUUGACUUGUGGUCUUGGACUGUCGUCGGUCGUCUCUGUUCUUUUUAUGUGGUUAUAAACUUACGAAGUCUUCCCAGUUUUAUUUGUGGAGUUUUAUUCGUUAAAGCAUCCGCGUGGGGCUCUCUAAUGGGACAAAAGCUUGCAAUUUAUAUUCAUUUAGCAGCAUGAAGGUAAAUAACAAGUUGUCUGUAGUGAAGAAAUUGUUGGAGGAAGAAUAUAGGAAAUAUGAAUUUAAAGAUAAUAAUACUUUUCAAUAAAACUGUAAUUAUCAAAUACAAUAAUAAAUUUACAUGAAAUUAAUGUAAAUUAACAAAUACAAAUAGAAAAUACUGACAACUUUAGCGAUUGUGGCUUGUAAGAAUUGCAAUGUCCUAAAGAUAGAUUUCGCCCCUGCUCUUGUGCCCACAAUUUUAUAGGCGUCUAUCUCCUAAGAUUCAACAAUUGAUAAUCAUAAAUUGAAGUACUUCAAUUUAUGACUCUGGUGAAUGAUAAGUGCAUUAUUUCCUAUAUUUGUAUAUCUCUUAUAUUUAGUUUUUGUAGGGAAAGUUAAUUAAAAAUAGCAUUAUUACCUUACUUUCCUUAUUUUCAGCUAUUAUGCGCUCUUGGAAGGGUUUUGACUGAAAAUCGACUUUUCGAAUGAAUUUUAGCACAAGGCCAAUGGGAGGAGAAGAAAUCUAUGACAUUGAGGAUCAUUGUGUCAAAGUUUCAUAAUUUUCUACCAAGCCAAAUGCUCAAGACUAGCAAGUCAACACAACCUAAGUUGAAAUCUAGUCAAAAUUGCACUACUGUGGAAGGUUGAAGAUUUGAAGAAAUUUCCGAUUUUUUCUAGUGGCGUAUGAUAUAUGCUUGGAAAGCUUAGAGAUCAAGCUAAAGUUCUCAUAUUUUUGCAGAAUUUUCUAGGAAAUGGAAAGACCCAAAAAUAUGCAUGCCAGUUGGCUGAUGUGCUUCCAGGACAAAGAAUGAUUCUUUCCUAGUUUGUUUCCUUAAUUGUUUGGGAUUUUGUUUUGCUUUAGAAGAGUUUUUCCAGACCUUUUUAGAGUAGGGUUUAGUUUUUAAAACUAUAUAAGGUCAACCUAAGCUCUCUCUCUAUGGACCAUCUUGAUACCAUAUACUUUUCCAACAUAUUUCAAUACACCCACAAAUAUAUGAGAGAGAGAGAGAGAGAGAGUCGCGAGUUGUUGCCAUGGUGCUUAUGAAGGUGUUGCUGUGGAAAAUCAGAGAUCAAAUCCAUCUGCCAAAUCGGUUUUAUGACAACAAUUUUUUUAUUUAUCUUCUCUUUUGUCAUGAACUAAUUUGCCUUACUAGGACUAUGUAGCCUAUAACCAUGAAUACUUAAUUUUAUAGAAGAGAAAGAUCUGAUAUGAAUCUAACUUCAUUAGAUUAGUCUCUCCUUCGUAUCCCUCUAUUAGACAAUUGUUUAUGCAUUUAUAAAUGCUAUAAACAAUAAAAUUAGCCUUGGGAAUUGAUAAUCGGUGUUUGAUAAAAAGUGUAAUAAAGUAAUUAAAAAUUCACCCAACAUAAUCUCACUCUUAUUUACAAAUAAGAGUUUUUAUUGUUUAAUUGAGUACGACCCAUUCAAGAUAAAAAUAUCUCUUAAUUAUAAUCUCUUUGGAAAGAGAAAACCCUUUGAUUCCAAUAUGAAGACUGAAAUAAAUAAGGGAAUUUACUUGAUGUUACAGCUGCAUCCAGUGAACCCUAGACUGCCUACAUACCCCAUUUUGGGGAUCAAGCCUUUUGUAGUUCUCACAUAAUUUGAUUGGACUUUCAAGGAAUGAAUGACCCCUUGAAAGAAUUUGUGGUAUGAGAAAUAUUUUAUGAAAUUUGGAUGAAUGUGGUUGGACCAGGGAUUCAAUUUGAUUUUGUGGUUGGAAAAGUGUUUGGGGCAAAUUUGGUUAAGGACACCAGGGAUUCUGUUUGGGCUUGCGGUCGUAUCUGGAUUGAAUUUCCAAAUUGCCUACGUAUCCUUGGCGGAAUCAAACCGGACGUAGUUCAGAAAAUUUUGUUGGACUUUCAAAGAAUAAAUGACCCUUUGAAAGAAUUUGUAUAUUUGAGAGAUUUGAAUUUGAUCUCAUUCAAAUUUGCAGGGUAGAUGACCCAUGAGAAAAUUUGGAAUGGUUUUGUACCAUCUUUAUUGUUAAUGUCCAAAGAAAAUUAAAAGGCAUUUUAAAGAGCCCAUUAAUUUACUCACAUAUGGUUUUUAAGGAUUAAUCCAUGAACCACAUAAUUUAUUUGGACCACCUAUAAAAUAUUUUGGGCUUUUGAGAGUUAAUGGGUAAUUUGUUUUGUCAACCCAUCAAUUUGUUUUCAGGUCUUGACAUUUCCAUUAGUAGGCCCAUAAACAAAAAGCCCACAUCAGAGAGGCUUUGAGAGCCAGCUGCAUUUGAAACCGAUAUCUAUUUGGAGUAGUAGAGAUUAAUCCAAACUGAGUCACUCCCAUCUUUAUCUGGAGUAGUUCAAAUCAAUUCAAACUAGACCAAAUUAUAUAUAUAUAUAUAUAUAUAUCUCUUCAACUACUCAUCUGUCACAAUCAAUACGAAACCUUGAGUCUGAGAUGCAAAAACCAAGGCAAGACCUUUCCUUGGCUCAUGUUUGUCAAAGCAGACCAUGUAGUCCACUAAAAAUGAAUUGAAAGUCAUCCCAGGCGUCAUUCACUUUGCUUUGGCAGGUUUCUUUUAUUUUUUGUCUUAUUCCCCUCUCUUUGCUUUUCGUUUAUUUUCUUCUUAUUUGUUUUUCGUCACUUUUCUCUUUUAGCUUCUGGGACUUCUUCAACUUUUAGGCUUCCUUGUCUUUGGCUUAUUUUGCUUUUGGAUUCUUCAACGGUCGCAACACAAGAGGCUUAUUGGUGAGCCAUUUUUCUUUUGCUUUUAGCUUGCUGAUGCUUUGUGCAUCCUUUUCUUUCCAAUUUGAUUGGAAUUUCUAAGGCUUUGCAUAUUUUCCUUUGAAGACUCACAUCAUUUGAGAGGGCCAUCAUACUGCCCAUUGAGGUGCUGGUUUUGCUUUGUCUUAGUUGCUUCAUGUUUUGCCAGCAACAAAGUGAGAACCUUUUGCAAUUUGCUGCAGAGGAGUGCUGGCUUAGUAAUUUUCGUGACCUGUCUGACUUGGUGAAAGGACCCGCCCCGAGUUUUUCAGAACCCGAGGCGAACCCUUUGGAAUUCCCGGCAUCAUCCCGAUGCCAGACCCACUUACUAAAGAUCGAGACUUUCUGCCAAAAUUUCGGCAGAGUCUCCUCUAUAAUUUGGACAUUUCCCAAAAUUUUAACCUGCAUAAAAACGUAUUUAAUAUCCACAACUGGCAGCAUGCACAAAAUAAUUUCAGGCAAUCCACAUAAUUCUCAAUCAACUACCAAAUAAUUCAAAUACAAAUUAUGACUAACAUUUAGUCUGCGGCUGCACCUAAUAACCUUAGGCUGCCUACGUACCCACCUUGAGGGAUCAAGCCACACGUAGUUCUUCCAUAAAACCCAAUUCCCACACUUAGGCGAUACCUUGUUUCAUUUCUCUAUAUUUCACAUAAUCUCCCCAUACGCCGGUACAACCAACGCCGCGUAUGAGGUCUGUCAACACGCCUGAUAACCUACGCCACGUGCGACCAUGCCAUACUAUUAUAAUAUCUCCCCAUACGCCGGUACAACCAACGCCACGUAUGGGGUCUGUCUCAACGCCGGAUAACCUACGCCGCGCGAGACCUGCACAUCAUAUCACAUAUCUCCCCAUACGCCGGUACAACCAACGCCACGUAUGGGGUCUGUCGACACGCCGGAUAACCUACGCCACGUGCGACCUCAACAUAAUAUCACAUAUCUCCCCAUACGCCGGUACAACCAACGCCGCGUAUGGGGUCUGUCGACACGCCGGAUAACCUACGCCACGUGCGACCUCAACAUAAUAUCACAUAUCUCCCCAUACGCCGGUACAACCAACGCCGCGUAUGGGGUCUGUCGACACGCCGGAUAACCUACGCCACGUGCCACCUCAACAUAAUAUCACAUAUCUCCCCAUACGCCGGUACAACCAACACCGCGUAUGGGGUCUGUCGACACGCCGGAUAACCUACGCCACGUGCGACCUCAACAUAAUAUCACAUAUCUCCCCAUACGCCGGUACAACCAACGCCGCGUAUGGGGUCUGUCGACACACCGGAUAACCUACGCCACAUGCGACCUCAACAUAAUAUCACAUAUCUCCCCAUAAGCCGGUACAACCAACGCCACGUAUGGGGCCUGUCUCAACGCCGGAUAACCUACGCCACGCGAGACCUGAACAUCAUAUUACAAAUCUCCCCAUACGCCGGUACAACCAACGCCACGUAUGGGGCCUGUCCGCACCCCGGAUAACCUAUGCCACGUGGGACCUAACUUUCACUUGGUGGUACUUGUAGUAAAUCCAACAUCCGGGGAGGUGCCUGAGGUAGUGCGUAUAGCACUCCAAACUACGCCACGCGAGACCUGAACAUCAUAUUACAAAUCUCCCCAUACGCCGGUACAACCAACGCCACGUAUGGGGCCUGUCCGUACCCCGGAUAACCUACGCCACGUGGGACCUAACUUUCACUUGGUGGUACUUGUAGUAAAUCCAACAUCCGGGGAGGUGCCUGAGGUAGUGCGUAUAGCACUCCAAACUGACUUUCUAGACUCUUUUGUACCCUUGUACAAGCAUAUAAAAUUAUAAUUAUAUAAAUAAUUCUAAUAUUGUGUAACCCUCCACAAUAGUCUAGCACCCGAUAAUCCCCCAUAGAAAGGUGAGAUUACUCCGGGAGACUCACGAUUAACUAAGGGUCAAACUACCCUAACCGUGGUCAAACGGACCUGAGGAGCCUACGACCUCCAUUUUCCGAUCCGAAGGUCCCUAUGGGUUUUACAAGGUAUAGGACACUCGUCCUGCAAGUUUGGUUCAGAUCGGACGGUCGGAUCGCUCACGAUCGCACGAUCUAACGGUUAAUAUAAAAUAUAAACUUUAAAAUUAUUUAUUCGGAACAUCCGGGGCUCCGAUUCACAACCGUGAAAUCCUACAUGAUCCUAGAAAUACCUAGAUCAACAUAUAUUAAAUUUGGGACCAUCCAACGGUCCCAGCCUAUCGAACCCGGAUAACGCGCAAUAUGAGAAUAUCCGUUCGAUAGUCAAACGACGUCCGAAUUGAGAUCCGCAAAAUCCUACGCACUCGUGACAACCUAAGGAUCUCAUCGGAACACAGUGCUACUUUUUCUACAGUGCCCACGCGCCGCCGCACGCGCCGGCAGUGCGUGGGUGCCCAAAGCGAUAAGGCUUCGCCGGAAAAUCUCAAAACCACGGCUCCAAAUUCCUACCCUAGGUAUAACACCCUAUUUGGAGCCACUUUUGUUCUUGGACCUACCCCAAAAACUGAACGAAAGUGACCGGAAUCGCGAUCGCAAAACCGACCGAAUUUCAAUUCGAAAAUCGAAUUAGCUACGCUAAGAAUCGAUCCAAUCCUACCUAACCAUCAGCUAGAGCAUGCAGAAGGGAUGAAUUUCCAUACCUUGAUCGCCAGAAAUGGCGGCCGGAGGAGGGAGAUCGGCGGCCGUGAAGAUCGGGCGACGUCCGGGCGAAAAUCGCCAUUUUUCGGCGGCUGGAGCGGCGGCCAAUGUCGGGGGAGGGCUGGGUCGUGACGCCGAGGCCGAGCCGGUCCUUUUGGCACCGGCCCCGUCCGCAGCCACGGCCGGUGGCCGGAGAUGCAAGGAGAGAGAGAGAAGCCAACGGGAGAGAGAGAGAGGUCGCGGGAGAGAGAGAGGGAGAGAGAGAAACCAGAUUUUAUAAAAAAAAUCCCAUUUUGAAAUAUUUACGAUUGUGCCACUGGACUUCUUUUGAUCAUAUCUCUCUCGUUACAACUCCGUUUCGAGCCCACUACAUGUCUAUGAACUCGUCUCAGUACGACCUAUCCAAAAAUACUAGUCACUACCCCAAACUCUCUCCGGUUAAAAAUAUGACCAAAAUGCCCUUAAAUAAUUAAAUAAUUUAAAUAAGGGUUAAAUUUGGGGUCGGGGUGUUACACUUGGGAUUUUUCUUUGUUGGUUAAUUUUGAAGCACAGAAAGUGGGUGUGAAUCAUUAGCUUUUGUAAGCUUUCUGGCACUCAGUAAUUUCUGCAUCUCCUUUAAUAUAUUUUCUUCUGUUUAUGCCAAUGGGUGAGACUAAAACAGAGUUAUUGAUUUUCUCCAUUUGCAGCACGUUUUGCCACCUGUUCUUUCUCCAAUCUGCAGAUUUGGAAUUUUGCUCUGCUGAAGGUGGGUUGAGCAUGUAACAAAGCGUCUGAACUGUUGAUGUUUUUUUUGUUUUUGGUACUCAAGAACACUCGCAAGGUCUUCUCUGAGUACCACAAUGUGCCUAUGGACACUCACAAGGUGUUCACAGCAUUUGUACAGUUGGGUUCUUGCAGAAGCCCAUCUGUAAUUCACAACAGAGAGAUCCUUGUGAGAGCUCUCUUUGUGUAAGUAGCAUAAUUAUUGCCAAUUUGGGAGGAUUUGUUCACAUUUUUCCCCUGCUGAAGUCUCUGUUAAUAUGAUACAUUUCUUGAUAUCAAACAUGGAGGAAGUUCAGGCUUCUGUACAAUGGCCUCACAUACAUAUUUUUUACCUGCAAGUCAGUUGUUUAUAAAGGAUACUUAAAUGAAUUUGUUUAUACCUUCUUAGUGGUAUUGUGACAGAGCUUCGUAUCUCUUUUGCUUGCUUCUACUCUUUGGAUUUCUGCAGCAGUUCUGUGUUUUUUCCUUUCUGUGUAUUUCUGCAGCAAUUUGGUGCUUUUUCUCCUCUGUCUUCUUUGCCUCCUUUAGUCCCUUUUUAUAGACUUAGAGGAACUGACAGAGUGGAGCCAGUUAUGGCCUCACGUAUUGUGUGGGUGGGAGUAACUUCCCAUUACAGUCACCCCCUCAACGUACAUGUUCUGAUACUGCUUUCAGUACGUUAAUAUUUUCUUUGUAAAAAUAUUAAUUCAUUUGGGCCUAAAACAAUUUAGCAACAAGUCCACAAAACCAUUUUAGCUAUGAGCCCAACUUCUUUAAACUUGGGUCAAUAUUUAAUUUGCUGUCAAUGAAUUUUUUUAUUUCAACAAUCGGUAAAGAUAUAUGUUGAUAUUCUGUAAAGAUUGGUAUUGAUAAUCUGUCAGAGAUUGAAGUACAAGGGACUACAUCCCUUUUCAGACUGAAGUCGGUGUGAUCUGUGGGACAAAGAAGAGGUUAAACACAGGCAUUACAAUUAGGGAAGAGGUCCCGAUAAAGGUAUUAUUCUAUGUAUAUUUGUUUUUCCUCUAUCAAUGUUGUAAUGCCAAGUCUUGAAGCCCUUGAUAUAUUCAACGAAUGAGAUUGAAGUCUUUCAUUCACAGUUCCAAUUUAUAUAUAUGUGCGUGUGCAGAUUGUCUGGCCAUAAUGAGGUUACUUCAAUGAGCAUAUUGACGCCUAAUGAGUGACACGUGACUAUAUAGUCAGUUGUUAGUUAGUUCAGCUGAAAAGAAAAACUUGGUACUAACUGUGGUUCGUGAUACUCUUCGAAGCGAAUGAAUCACAACGGCCAUCUUCGUAAUCAGAGACUCUCUAUUACUUAAACACCAAAAGUACUGUAGCAGUUGCUGAAAACAGAGAAUUCAUGAAAACAGUUUUUUCACUCUCAGUUUUCAGACAAGGGGUUCUUAGAUAUAGGUCCAUUCUCAUUAAGAUACAAUAGAUAAAGGACAUCAAUUUUAACUCCUUAAUAGCAGUCCACCAAACAAUCCAAUGGACACGUAAGCAAUGCCUUUUGUCCAUCCUUUUUAAGAUAUUUACUUCUAGUGCCAUUAAAUAGAAAAGGCAAAUAAAACCGACACCUCCCAAAGAUCUGUUUCUCUUAUAAUCAUGGUCAUUUCAUCCCAAUCUCUGCUGAUUGAUUUCUUCCUUAAUGAAGAUUUUCACGACUUCCAAAUGAGGAUUGAAUUACUUGUGUUACAGUUUGGUUUUUUUGUUUUUUUUCUUUAGGUUUGCUAUGAAGUAUUCAACUUAUCUAUAUAUAUUCUUUUUGGGUUAGGUUCAUGUGUCUAUGUGGAGGUAGUUUGAGUGUUGAAUCUGGGGUGGAAAAUACUUGACUUAGCACAUACCUACAGUGAAGGUAUGUAAGGAAAAGUUUAUUUUUCAUGUUUGUUGUUUGUAGGUAAAAUUUGAUUGUGUUUUUUUUUCUUCCCGUUUAUUAGUAUUGGUUGUGUUUUUUUUCAAGAUUACUUGCUGUUAUAGUGAAAAAGAUUAUGAACCAAACUAAGUCUAUAGGACAGGUAGAAUGUCCAACUAUACCUAUACAACAGGUUUGUAUCACAAACAUUACAUGUAGAACAAGUAUACAUGCCAGACGUUUAUGUGUUUGUAGUAAAUGUAUUUGUCCAGUAAUGGUUUAUGUAAUAUAUUUGUAGCAAUUACAUUUGCAUUUAAAUUUGACAGGUUCUUUUCCACUUGCUUUUGCCAUCCUUGAUUUUGAAAAUGGAGCUAAUUAGACAUGCUUUCUGCAAACUUUUUCCCAGCCAUGAAGAUCCUUUAAACAACAUAGUUUCACAGAAACAUUGCCCGUAGAAGUAAAAUGGCGACUACCUUCACCACAUGUAUCCUUCCCCCACACCUUACCUAUAUAUCAGGUAUACAUAUCACACCUUGUACAAUGACAAAAACCAAUAGACAAUAACAAUCAUAAAUCCAAACAAUAAAAUUACAUGGAAGACAAGUUCUGCAACUGGUGUUAAAUUGUGAAAUUCUUCCGUAAGAUUUAGGACUUCUGACCAUCGAACUAUCAUAAUAUCUGUAAUAUUCAACCAUAACCGUUCUGCAUUGAAGAAGCAAAGAAUCUGCAAAGAUUGGGUUCAAGGAAGAAUGACUGUUUGUAACGACGUGAUUUUUGGGAUAUGUUUGCGAUAUUUUCCUUUUCUAUUCAAUGACAACCGCGUUAAAUGGCUUCAGAUUAUUACGUAAAUUAUGAUUACCCAAUACAAGGUAUAAUGGAUAACAUUGGAACAAGAAAUGAUUUUGUUUGUUUGUUUUUUUUUUAUAAAAAAAGAUUACAUCAGAAAAUAUUUAAAAAUGAAUGUAAUCCUAUGUGGUACAAAAGUCAAAGGACUUGUAUCAAAGUUAUUAAAUCCGAUGAUUAAACCCAACUUCUCAAUGAAAAUUUGAAUCUAUAUCAACUUUUGUAUUCAGAUAAUGAUAACAGUCCACUAUGGUAAGUGAUAUCUUUACUUUUAGUAUUUAUAGGUCUACCCAACAUAAUUAUAACAAUAUUUUAAAAAACCCUAACAGAUUUCUUCCCUUCUAUUAUUAUUUGUGUUUGCGCAGUGCCUUCUUUCUUCUCCCUCUCAAUAACAGUCUUCUUCUUCUUCCUCCCUCUCUCUCUCUCUCUCUCUCUUCUUCUUCUUCUCUCUUUCUUCUCCCUCUCAAUCAUUGUCUUCUUCUUCUUCCUCCCUCUCUUUCUCUUUUCUUCCUCCCUCUAUCUUCUCCCUCACAGCUUGCAUGUCUUCUUCUCCAUGGGGUCGUCUCCCAUGGCUGCCAAGGCAAACAUGAGACCUCGAAGCCAUUUCCAGGGCUGCCAUGGGGCCAUCUGACACCAUUGACCCCAUGGUGGAUCCGCCACUGGUUGUAGUCAUAGAGUCUUCUGUAGCUAUUGUAGGAGAAAACAAGAAAGGUUUGGGUGCAAUUCGCAAGGAAUGAAGGGGUCCUUCCAACAUCUCUACAACUUUGCUCAUUGAUGGCCGAUCAGAAGGAAUGGUCUGAAUGCACCACAGGCUUAUUAAUACCAUCUUUCUUCCUAUUUCUUUUUCCUCCUCUGUGAUUGCCCCAAAUGCAUUUUCAUCCUUUUCUAGCUCUAGAUCUUUAUAAACAUAAUGUGGAAACAUUUCACUUGAAUGAGACACUCCCGAAUCCAAAUUAUUUUUUGCUCCAACCAUUUCAAGAACCAACAUACCGUAGCUGUAAACAUCAGAUUUGUGAGAUACUCCACCAAAGUUCCGGCUAAACACUUCUGGUGCAAUGUAUCCUGCAGUUCCUCUUGUCCCAAUCAUCGAUACAAUACUGUCCUUCGUUUUACAUAAUUUGGCAAGGCCAAAAUCAGAGAUUUUUGGGCGAAAAUCUUUGUCGAGAAGAAUGUUCUGUGGCUUUAUGUCAAAAUGCAAAAUUCUUGUGUUACAUCCACGGUGUAGGUAUUCUAGUCCUCGAGCAAUACCAACUGCAAUUUCAGAUAGUGUUUUCCAUUCUAAGAGAAAAUUUGCCAUUCCAGAUCCGUGCUUAUGUAUGAAAUUAUCCAGAGAUCCGUUAGGCAUGUAUUCAUAAAUCAAAGCUCGUUUGUCCCCCUCGUAACAGAAUCCAGAAAGAGUGACUAUGUUGACAUGGGAGGUUCUACCAAUGCUAGCAACUUCAUUAAUAAAAUCUUCUCCUCCAUUACCCUUGGACUCGCUUAGGACUUUGACCGCCACCAGAAGCCCAUCAGGUAGCCUGCCUUUGUACACAGUUCCAUAUCCACCUUUACCUAUUUUGUCUCUGAAAGAGUCUGUCAUUUUCUUGACAUUUUCAUAGGUAUACCGCUUUGGAGUAAGCGAUCCAUAGUUCCUUAUAAAAGCCUCAACAUCAAACUCAUCCCUCUUCUCUUUCUGGACGAAUGAGACCAUUCUUCCGCUUGAUACGUGCGGGAGCGAUUUUCGGACAUUUUGCUUCCACCAUAUGCAUAUACUACAAAGAAUGAUUACCAUCACGUAAAAUCCAGUAGCCAAACCUGCAACAAAAUACCUGAUUUGUUGGAUUUUUAUUUUAUGUAGUUAUUAGUUAAGCUCCUAGUCAUUUUAAACAGUCAUUUAAGUUCUAAAACCACUUUGGAGGGCUACCAUUUUAACAGUCAAUCAAGAACUACAACGAAAACAAGUAACGAAGCAGUUACUAGUAUAAAUACUGUUUUAAAGAAGUGAAAUAUUACCCAUUGCGAGAUCCUUCUUUUUUCCUGAAACAGCCAUAAGAUAGAGAAAUGUUAAUCAAUUGUUAAAAACCUCAAUUGCAACAAAGAUAUUUGGUAGAUUACAUCAACAAAAACUACCUUUUUUGUCACUUCUUAUUUGCCUUAAAUUUGGUCAUUGUGUCGCUAAUUUUACUCAAUUGAGUCAAUUUUUUGUCACUGGUUAGUUUUUUUAUGUUCAAUACUUCAAGAAUAAGACUUAGGUCAAUGAAAAUUUUGGUGACCACAAAAACGCGGGACCCGCCAGUGAACGGGUAAGAGAGGUUUCGAAGCGGGCCGCAGUCGAAGGCCCGGGAGCAGUUGGAGAGGUUUGCAUUCGAGGGAAACGACUUCGUAACCUCGAAGGAUUAGAAGAAGAAGAGGAGGAGGAGGAGGAAGAGUGGAAGCAUUGGGGAAGGGGCGGGAAAACGACGAAGUUUGGGUGUGGGGUGGGCGAGGCGGGAAGUGGCUUAGAGAGUUGAGUGAUGAAAUGCAAUGAGGUUUUGGUUUGACAGUGCACACUGCUUUUGAAUAUUUUGGAGGCUGCUGACCAAAUAUGUUAUCUUUUUUACCUUAAUGAGUUUUUUCUGUUCAAUAAUUUAUGGGUAUUUUCGUAAUUCAAGGAAUUAAAAUGAUUAUUUAUUAUUUAUUUAUUAGAGUCCUGGUAUUUUCUUAUUUUCGUAAGACUCCUGGUCAACUUCAAAGGUAUAGUCAAACAGCGUGAGCUCCAAACUAGCAAUUUUUCGAAAGGGUAGUUGAUGAAUUGGAGGAGGGCUUUGAAUGUGAAAAGAAGAAAAUCUCAUACAAUUUUUGGGCAUGUUUUUCUUAGGCAGAAAACUUCUACUACCCCCCAACUUUUUCUCGGGUAAAUAUACUUUUUCUCGGGUAAAUAUAUCAAAUCAUAGAGCAACUUUUCCCAAGGCAGAAAUUAUUAUAUCUUACUUUCGUUUGAAGAUUCUUUAAUAUUUUUUAAAGAUUUUUUUGUUCGAAGGGAUGAUAAUAUGCUAAACUCACACACUACACGGAUAUCAGAACUCGAAUCCAGAAUGUUUCUUCGAGUAGCAAUUACUCUAAACCACUACAUUAGUGUAAUCUUAGCUAAAAAUUCCUAAUUUCAAUACAUGAAUUAUGUACAAAGUAUUCAUGAUAGCACAUGAAAAUGGAACAAGACAUUUUCAGUCCCUACAAUAUAUUUAAUAUAAAAAAAAGCACAACCAACGCGCACAUGAAAUGAAAGCUUUGUUUUAUUGACAAACUAUAGCUAUUAUAAAGGUAAUAUUAUGAAAGAACAAUCUUGAUCAAGAAUUCAUUAAAUGGACCUACCACCUUUUAAUAGUUUAAUGCAUGAAACAUGCAUGCUUGUGUGAUUUCAUUCAACAAACGUCAAACACGGGAAUUUUCUGUGCGUUGUGACUAGUCCAAAAGCUAGACAAAUUCAUACAAGUUUCUAAAUUCAGAUAAGGUCAUUCUAGUAAAUGUCAUAGCAGCCUAGAUAACUCAGAAGUCAGAACAUAUGAAGCAUAACACGUGGUAUGAAUCAUUUGGUUUUGUUUUGGCAUGGAAAUGGCCAGCCUGGCUAAUGGGGAAGAUGAUAUUAAAAGACCAGAAGAACCCAACUUGAAGUUUCCAAUGGAAUGCCGCACGGGUUUUCCAUGCCCAUGUGAAAGGAAUUUGGAUGGAAUAGGAGUAGGAGUAAUGUUUGGUGUAGGUGAAAGUUUAGGAGAGCACAUAGUUCAUACCACAUUAUAAUCAUAAAAGAGAAUUGCAAGCAGGAACACAUAAUUUGACAUCACUGAACUUUAGGAUAGAGAAUUAAGCAAAACAAUAAGGUUGUAAAAUCUAGUCCCAUAGAGUUGUGCUCCGAUUGAAUGUUGGACAUUCGUGGAGUUCUCUAAACAUGAGACGACACACUUAAUCAUUUUUAAUGGAAUUAUUAGUUGUGUUUAGUUCCAAUGACCAGACGGGAUGUAGAGGUAUAAAGUGAAGAAGCUUAACAAAGAAUCAUUCAAAUCUAUAAUAUUGGAAUUGUGUAGCUCCACACAAGCUAUAGGUGUGGUUUGGUAUUAAAUAUACUGAUGCCUUCUGUGAAUUUGUACUAGAAGAUGCAGCAGGAGCUGCAAAAGAACUCAAUCUUGCACAAAUCUUGCACCCAUCUAAGAAAAUUCUAUUUGUCUAUCAAAACUAAUUUCAUCAUCUUCUGAGACCCCACUCAAAAAAACAAUCUUGCUUUGGCCCCUCACUUGUUUCUAGACCAGACUAUAUACUAAAAGAAAACAGAGGAAACAAGAAGUAGUUAGCCUAAACGCUAGAUUUCUAUAUAACUCUCUAACCUGAGCCAAAGCCCUUUGGCAUCGGUUGCUAAGAAGGAGGGUUUGCCAUGGUGAAGGGAUUGAAAGUAGCAUAAAGAUUCUAAACGACCCACAUAUGACAUGUAGGUGUUUGAUAAAAAGCCCCAAAGACAAGGAAUUAAGACAAAAAAGAUUACAAGCGCAUGCAUACCUGCACAGUUUGAGGGAUGAGGUCCAUCCUUGCAAUAGCAAGUGAACUCAGCUGUAGCUGUAUUGUACCCGCACUGACCACCAGAUCCGUUACAUUGCUUACACAAGUUAUUACUUGCAUCCCAUGUCAACCCAAACCCAGAAUCAAGAACGGCAACUAGAUUGUCCUUGGUGGAAUUCGUCGCCAAAUUUUCACCCGCUGAUUGCGAAACAAGGGCAUUGACGGUCGUGUGGCACGUUCCAAAGGUACCACUAAUAUUCGUGAGCCCAGAAUUCGUGAGGUUUUGUGUGACAAAGUAAUUGAUGUAAUUGGCAGUGCUGUUUAUGCUGCAGUUGAACUGACUUGUUAGCUGAAUUUGAAGAGGAAUAUUGAGUGGGGGGCAGUCAUAGAACAGCAGUAGUUCUUGAACAUCUGAAGCAUAUUCUACAUGGUUUACUUCUAUUGUGGUGUUGCCAGGCGACACAGGACAAACGUUGUUCCAGUAGUCUGUCCUAGCGAUUCUAAGAGUACUUGCACUUUGGUUGAUAUCCAGGACUCGAUAAUCUUUUUCCUGGAAUGAGAUCACCGGGGAGUCCCCGGUGCAGUUCAACUUGAAUUCCGGGUAGCCACAAUAAUUGGGCCGGCUUGAUCCCCAAAAAGGGUAACCAAUAUUCGGAAUAUUUGCGCAUUGAAACAAAGCGCUGCAGUUGAGGUAUUGCUCAUCAUCCUCACCCAAAGAUCUUGGAAUAUACAAUAGGCAUAUAGUACUUGUGAUCACAAGGAGAAAAGAGAUCUUUUGGAAGGGAUAGAGAUUCAUUUUGAGAGAGAGAGAGAGAGAGGUAAUUAAAGUUUCAGAAAGGAAAAGAUGAAGCAAUUAUGUUCAUCAAGAUCUCACGGUGCACGUUUCAGUCAACGUCGACUUAUUGAUUGGUGAGUAAAAUAAGACUUAUCUCUUGUUUAAUAAAAGUGUCAGUGUUAUAAAAUUAAAGAGAUUGUGGAAAGAAUUUAGGGAAUUCAACGAGCAAUAGGAAUGCUGUUUUGAUGUUUUCAUUGAAUCUUUCCGUUUUGUCUUUUACAAUGAGGACGAUGCCUUAUUUUAUAGGCAAAGAUUUUGCCUCUAGUGGAUGUAUAAUUUGCUCUCAAGGAAUGAUGGCAGACAAGCAUCAUCAUGAUGUCCUUCAUUAUUUCCAAAUGUGUGGGCUCCACUCAAGACUUUACAACACUCUCCCUUGGAGACCACAAAUGGUAUGGAAUAUGCCUCGUUAAAAACCUUGCCGGUAAAUUGUUGAGAGAAUUUAGAGAAUUCAAAUAGCAAUAGGAAUGUUGUUCUGAUGUUGUCAUUGAAUCUCUCUGUUCUGUCUUUUACAAUGAGGACGAUGCCUUAUUUUAUAGGCAAAGAUUAUUGCCUCCCGUGGAUGUAUAGUUUGCUCUCAAGGAAUGAUGGCAGACAAGCUUCAUCAUGAUGUCCUUCAUUAUUUCCAAAUGUGUGGGCUCCACUCAAGACUUUACAACACUUCCCCUUGGAGACCACAAAUGGUAUGGAAUAUGCCUCGUUAAAAACCUUGCUAGUAAAAACUCAGUGGGACAAAAAACUGGUCGAAGGGAAAAAUAGUACAUAACCAUGUGUAACAUAAAAUUUUGUGUAUUUUGACACGCGUACGAUACUGCCUCGUUAAAACCUUGCCAGAAAAAACCCAGUGGGAUAAAAACCUGGACGAAGGAAAAAAAGUACAAUGUGUGAAGGUCUUUAUUGAUAGCACGCUCCCCCUGAUGCUUAGCAAAAUAUCUUUAAGCCAUACUGUUGAUCAUCUUUCUAAAUGUCAUAGUUGACGCUGCUUCUAUGAGUCAAUCUUGUAAUAUUGUUGGAUGCUCCCCUUGGGGAAUAUAUCCCCCUGAAAUCUUCAUGACUAACUUUUUCCAAUAAGCGACUAUAGAAAUUUCCAGAGUCAACGUAUCCAACAAAAUUUGGGCUAUUUGUAAGUUUACUUGAAAAGAAUAUGCCCGUAUAUGGUGUUAUGCGGAGAUAGCAUCAAAUAUACCUCACAUCUUCCCAAAGUGGUGGUGAUGGAGCUGAGCUCUAUCUGAAAAAUAUAAUAUCCAGUCCAGUAUACUUCCGAAAAAUUAUUUAAGUGCCCAAUGGAUAAUCCACAUAAAAAUACUUCAAUAGCUCCUUAGUAUAAGCAAGAAUCUCAUUGGCAUAAUGCUAGAUCUUCAAGCCAAGAUAAGUAUUUCUUGAACUCUUCAAGAGUUUUAAUGUGUUGCAAACAUAUUAUAAUUUAAUGUAUUCACUGAGGCAAUUUAUGCAUAUUAAUAUUGAGUACAUAUUUUGUGCUUCAGGCACAUGUCUACAGACUUGCUUCAUGCAAUUUCAAUCCUUCAAUGAUUUUAUUUAAGGGAUUACACUUUAUGACACAUUAUAUAGCUUUAACCCAGCUAUUUAUACAUUUUUAGGGAAUCACUUCUAGCGAUAUGCUCCGUGCAUAAUCCUUAAAGAUAACAUGUUGGUCUCCGCAAAUGUGCAAUAAGAAGAUACGAUUGCAUCUGUAAAUAUGGAGAAACCCAACAUUCCUUGUUUCUACCAGAAACAUUGUGUCAUACAAAAUGGGUAUAUUCCCUUUUGUUCCAAACACCCAAGUAUAACUUUCAAUAUUAACAUCCUUUGGGGUUCGUACUAUGAAUUUUUUCUUUUACGUUUAUUCUCAUUUGUAAUGGAAUUGCCUCUUUCCAUUUUGGCCAAUGAUAUUGUCGACAUUUAAUAAUUGAACGUGGUUCCAAUCAACACAGCCCAUUAAUGAUUUGAGUAGCUACUCCAAAACCAAAAGUUUUCAUUCAUCAAUUCAUGAUCCCACCAUCCUCAUGUGCAUGCACGUACAUUAAUUAUAAGCAUUUCUUUGCUUUUGGGUACCCAAGCCACUUCAGGGGGCUUUUAUUGUCUCUUUCCAGACGGACAUCUCUUAUAAGAUGAAUUAUGUGAGAAUGUGGAUCAUGACCUCCAAUGGAGUGUUAUUUUACAGCAGGGCGUGGAUAAUCUCCAUUUAGGGAGUUAGAACAUUUAGAACCCAUAUAUUUGCCAUGCUGCGGGCAUGCCGCAUAUUAAUACAUACAUGUCAAUUUAUUGUCCUUCUGGGACUUUAAAGCAUAUAAUUUGCUACGCACUAGGCGUGCACCAUAUCAAUAUUGACAUGUUAAAGGAUUGUCUUUCCGGGACUUCAAUCCAUAUCAUUUGCUAUGCAACAGGCGUGCAUCAUAUUGAUCACUGCUAUACCCAUGUUAUGUUCUUAUGGGAUUUUAAUCUAUGUAGUGUAUCAUUAAUGUAUUUAUCUUGCAAUCUAUGAAAUUUGCAUUAAUAAUUCAUGAAUACAUAUCAAAAUGAUAUAAGCUAUUCUUCCGGAAUGGUCAUAAUACAAGUCGCUCUUCUGGAAUGAUCUAUAAUGCAAGUCAUUCUUCUGGAAUGGUCCUUUGCAUGGCGUUCUUCUGGAACGGUCUUAUCUCCCCAUUUGGUUACCUUCAAGGAUGUUGUACAAAAUAUCGAAAUAAGAGUAUAAGUAUGAAAUAACAUAGGUAUCGCUUACAUCCUUAGGUGGGAGAGGCUUUGCUCAAAUAUCUUCCAAGCUCAUAUCAGCUCAGCAAAUACAAUGUAAUGCUUGAUGAUCUAGUUAUAUCCUGCAAGAGCAAAAUUCACAAUCUUUUGUCUCUGUAAAAAAAAAUAACCCUAACAGUUAGGAUCACUUCAUAGAUUCUUUUUUCAAAUGUUCGUUCUAAAGAAAUAAAAUCCCUUAUGAACAGAGAGUUAUUAAAAGAAAGAAAAGAUAUAAAAAUUGUGAUAUUGAUUGCAACGUAAGGUAAGCAAUCAGGUGAGGAAGCUGAUGAGAGCAAACAACAAACUUUCAUUUCUCCUAGUCUAGAAGAACCUCAGGAGAUUAUAGCAUGUGGUCGUCUUUGCAGUUCCCCGAUGUAGCGAAAACGUGAUCAGGGAUAGUCUUGCUUCCUGAAUAAAUGAUCAGAGAUAGUCUUGCUUCUCAAGCACAUCGAGUGCUCACUGAUAGGAAAAAUAAGUGGAUAUCGCAUCACUAGGUAUGGGGACAACUGAAUGUCUUCUGCAAAGAAAAUUUCGUUAGUAACACAUUUAUACAUAAAUGAUAGGAAUAGUUAGGUCCGGUGAAUCUCAAAUUAACCACAGAAAAUUUGUGAGGUUCUGGAGGUGCUUUCGAAAAAGUAGCUCCGUGAAAUCCGAAAAGCAAGAUCGGCUUUGACGAAAAUAAUACUUGAAACCUCCGAAAGUGCCGACAGACAGUAAUGGAGGCCGCGUGAAGUUUUGGAAUCUGGGAAAGAAAAAGAGAAUAUGGGGAUCCUGGAAACCGUUGCCAUAUUUCCACCUAUAGAUAUUGCCUCUGCAAGACCAGAUUAGAGUAACUGCGUUUCAACUCAACUUCCUUUCAUUUUCUGGAAAUUCAGCUUCUCUUAAAACUUUCCUUGAAACCUUCCUAAAAAUGGCUUCCUCUUCUUCUCACCCAAACCAUCUUGAUUUAAAUGUUGCUCCCAACACAACUCAUGACUCCAAAGUUUGGUGUCCAUCCUUUGUAUCCCAAAAUCGUCAUCCCACAAUUAAUGAUUCUGUGAUGAUGAAUGAUGCGACUGCUGUCAUAGUAGAAAGGAAUUUCCUUAUUCUAAUGGAUGAAAUGCUGUUAUCAGUGAGGUCUGAUGAAAAGGUUAUUGAUGACUCAAUGACUUCUAGCAUUCAGAGUGCUACUUCUGUUUCUAACAUGGCUGAUCGUUUGUGUGCUAGAGUAAACGAGGUUCAAGAGCUGACCACUGAAAAUUCGUCUCUUUAGAGAAUGCUUCAUGAGUCUCAAUAGGAGGUUGAGAAACUUAAAGAGGAAAAUAAUGCCUUGUUGAAACUGGUGAGUUCGUACUCCAUUGAUACGCUGAGAAGGCUAGACAUGCUGCAGGUUUCCAAUGAAAAGAUUCUGGGAGACCAUGAGAGGCUCAUGGCUAAGCUUAAGAGGCCCCAUUCGCUUCCUUCAGAGGCUUCCAGAACAUAAUGUAAUUUUAUAGAUUUUACAGAGCCUGCACCUUCAUUGCAGGUGGAAAAAAUCUAUUUGUUGUAUGCCUUCUUUCCUGUUAUAAUAAUUUUGCAAAUUCUUAAACUUGCACGUGUGGUUUUUACAUCUUUUCAAAAUGACGGUUUGGAACCUUGUGCCUUAUAGGUUCAAGUAACCACAUCAAAUCUCUCAAAUUUCAUAUUUCAACUCAUGUGAGCCCAGAACUUCUGGCCUGAGCUAAACACAACCUCAGAAUUUAUUCGCCCUUUUCAAAUGGACAUGAAAUAUAAAUUGAGUAAAAAUCAUGAUAAUGUUGCAAUAUAGUAGUGAAGAGCAUUAACUACUAUACCCAAAACUUCAAGUUCGGGAUCUCUCAUAUCUUUGGAUCCAUGGGCUUCCGGCCCUGAUCAUAUGAUAUAACAAAAUAUGUGGGGAGCCUCAAUUCAUCAUUUGAGGUUUAUCCUGAUAUUAUCCUUUUCACAGUGUAUUUUUAACAACCGGAUUCACAAAAUAUAUUUCUUCCUUGAGGUGUCAAUUAUAACAUAAUCGAACUUUAUUAAAUUCAUCAUUUUCUUAUGCCAAAGAAAUAUGUGGCGUACCACAAUUUGCAAUAAUACCUCAAGAGUUGUCCAUUUAAUUGUUGAAACUUUAGGUUCUCAACAUUGUUAGAUUUUGAACUUCAGGCCAAAAUCACAUAUUCUCAUGGUAUGGACAUUUUUACAAUUUUCUGUACAUAUUUCAGGACUUCAAGUCCUUACAUAAUUGUCUAUAUUUUGAGAAACUUCUGGCAUCUCAUUCAAUUGCUCAUCCAUGAGUUUAAGGAGUUGUAGGUUCCCUUUUGUAUAUGGUGACGGUUUACCCAAAAUGGUUAAUAUUUAUGUAUACGUACUAUUCAUGUAUAUGAUACUGUUCAUCAAGUCAUGAAUACGUAUAUGGUACUAUUCAUCAAGUCAUGAAUACGUAUCUAUUCAUGUGUACAGUACAUUUGCCAGUACAGUUAUUUUUUACGUGUACGGCAUAUUAACCAAUACAGUAUUAGUACAUCAUCAAGGAACUCCAGGUCCUUAUUUACAUGUCAAGGAUCAAAGAUUUUCAAGUCCAAUCUCUUGUUUACAAAUAUAGUGCCGGAGAGACUGCCCGCUCUAAUAUCAAUAUCAUCAUUAAGGAUUUUCAAGUCCUGAUGUAGUUGUAUGAUGAGGAUUAAAGAACUUCUGGUCCUGAUCUGUAUUCUGUAAAAACUCAUCAUACCGCACAAUUAAUCCAUAAAAUAAAUUGCUUGUAAAUAAAUUGCUAGUAUGGACGAUAAACCUGCACCAUACUUUAAAUAAAAGUAAAUGUGUGAUAGAGUAAAUUCAUAAAUUAAAUUGCCUCAUGUAUGGACGUUAAUCCCGCACCAUACUUUAAAUAAUAAAGUAAAUGUGCGAUAAAGUAAAUGUACUGGUAUGGGCAUUAAUUCUAUUCCAUAUUUUUAAAUAAAAAGUAGAGACAGUUAUGUGGACGAUAAAUCCGCGCCACACCUUUAAAUAAAUACUGUUGUAUGGGUAAUAAAUCUACACCAUACAGCAAAUAAAUUGUGUCGUAUGGGUAAUAAACCUACACCAUACAGUAAAAAAAUUGUAUGGCUAAUGAAUCUACACCAUACAAUAAAUAAAAUAAAUGUGGGGAUAAAACCACCACUAAAAAUAUAGGAGGUGAAACUGUCCAUUUUUAUUAAAGUAAAUGUGAGGAUAAAACCACACAAAAACAUUGGAGGUGAAACCGUUCAUAGAAUUACUAUAUAGAUAGAUUAUAUAGAAUAUAUAAUCAGGCAAGCAAAGAAAACUAGGGUAUGAUGAAUAUCACGUUUGCUUCUGCCUUUCCACCAGCACACCUGUACUAAUAUUGGUAUUAAAUAGUGUAGGAUAAUAACAAAAUAAUUGAAAGAAUAAGGGGCAGAGAGCUUUGCUUAUUUUGUUUUCUUUCGGUUGGUUUGCUGUUAUCAUCAAAAGAUGCUUUAGCACUUCCCUUGGGUCAGUGGCUGAGAAAACUGUGUGGACGAGAACAAAGGGGCCAAUAAUCUUCAGCACCCAAAGCUGGGAAAAUUCUACGGUGGGCUUGGCGCAUGGAUGCUCCCAUUGUUAUAGACCAUUGGAAGAGUAGUUGGUGAUGUGGAGUUAUCCACAUCGUUGAGUUAGUUACCAGAUAAAUUGGUUGUUGUAGGUAAAAAGAAAACAAAAACAAAAACUCUCCUUUAGUAGCAUUGGGUAGGCCUCAUCAUUUGGCCCGCGGGCUCGUGGGCUGAUGGGGGCUGGCCCGGCCCAUUAUGGACUUUGAGAUGGCUUGGCCCGCUUUGGGCCGGACUAAGCUUGGGCUUGGGUGUCUGAAGCCCGGCCCGGCCCAUAGGCUUUGCCCGAUUAAGCCCAAGAAAGCCUAGCCCGACCAGACCACAAAAGCCCCGCCCGUUAGGCCUGCAUACAUAUAUAAUUAUGUAUAAAUAAGAAUUUAGGAUUAGGAUUAUAUCACUUAAAUCACAUAUAUAAUUUGUUUCAUUUUAUUUACUUUUCUUUACUCAUUCCUAGUUUAUAAUUGGAUGAUUAGCACAUUAAUUUGUGUCAAUUAUUAAUACAAGAAUUAUAUAUAUAAAUAAGAUGAAUAACAUAUCAUAUCACCAAAUAUAAUCAUAUCACGAAACAUAAUCGUACCACCAAAUAUAAUCAUGUUUUUCUUGAACACAUCACCAAACAUUUACAUAUUUAUUUAUACCAUCCUUUUAAAAAUAUAUAUCUUUUUGAUACUUAUUAUUUUUUAAAAUUAUUUCUUAAAACGUAUUACGGUCUAAUUAUGUAAUAACCUCAAAAAUAAUACUUGGUUUUAUCAUUUUUUUGAAAAAUCUUAUUAAGUUGUGUGAUUUUAUUGGGUAGUUUAUGAAUUUGGUUUGAUGUGAAAAUAUUGGAAUUAAGUGAGUUUAAUCUCAAAUAUAGACUAAAAUGUCCUUAUGAUUAAGUUUAUGAUUUUUUUCAAAUGAAGUAGGCCCGUUUCGGCCCGGUCCGGUCCGAUGGGCUUUCUCAAUCCCGGCCUAUGGGUCGGGCUUGGGCUUUGAAUUUUCUAUAAAAAAAUCCGGCCUGACCCAGUAUUUUCUCUCUCCUCUUUAAAGCCCAGUCGACCCUACCCAAGCCCGUUAAAUUUGGACCGGGCUAGUCCGACCGGGCCCAUUGACGAGCCCUAGCAUUGGGUUUCUCUUUUCUCUCUCUUCGAGUUCGACUCCUUCCAAAAUAGCUCCUCUCCUCCUCCUGUGACAAUGAGACAGCGCGAUGAACACAACUCCUCUCCUCUCAGGUAUCCCUCUCUUUCUUCUCCCUAAUUGUCUCUCUCAUCUCUAUAUCUCAUGGUCUCUCAAUCUCCUUCCCAGGCUUCGUUUCAAAACCAAACCCAUACCAAAAAUCUCAGCCCCUAUUGAAACCCCCAUUUAGCUCGAUCCCUGCCGUCUCUCUCUCUCUCUCAAUCGUUUCAGCUUUCACUCUCCCUCCCUCACUCGAUUCUCUUUCUCUAUAGCUUUGGCUUGCUCUCUCUCUCUCUCUCUCUCUCUCUCUCUCUCUCUCUCUCUCUCUCUCUCUCUCUCUCGUUUCAGCCUUCACUCUCCCUCCCUCACUCGAUUCUCUUUAUCUAUAGCUUUGGCUUGCUCUCUCUCUCUCUCUCUCUCUCUCUCUCUCUCUCUCUCAUAUAGAUACGAGCACCAAACGUGGGUGGGCACAAAUUUGUGAGUGAUAGAAAGUUUAGGGUUUCAAUUUUGUUAAACUGAAGAUAAUGUUAAUUAUUCAGGGUUUGAGUUUUCUAAUUUAUAUUGUAAGUUUUAGGUUUUAAUAUUGGGCUAUGGUCUCUGCAGGUUUUCAACUUUUUAAUUUGUAUUUGAACCAUUAAUUUGGAGACAAGGUGAGGAUUUCAUAUUAGUGUUGAACUAGAUGUGAGAUUUGAGUAAUGUUAGUUUAAUUUUGAGUUUACUGCAUUCAUCAUUUUUUGGUUUUUAUUUUUAUUUUUCUGAGUUGGUUCUUGUGUCUACAAGUUGCAUCUUGUUUUCAUAUUUGGAUUCCUGAAUGUGCUAUGAUGUCAUUCUUAAGUCUUUUUGUUUUUUUUUUCCCUGGGGUCUGGCGUGUUGCUUUGUUUGCCUUUGUUUAGCCCGGAUUCUUCUUUUUUAUGUGGUUUUUUUGCUUUAGUUUGUAGUCUUGGUCGUGUGGGAUGGGGGUUGUGAGGAUUGCUCAUCCUCCUGUAGCCCCAUUGAUUUAUAAAUAUCAUCUUUGGAAGCUUGUUAUGAUUGAUUUUUUUCUUCUUCUUGUCAGUAUUCUACUAAACGUGUGUGAAGGUUGCCUCUUUUUUGGGGUUUUAAUGAAAGCUACAUAACAACCAAACAAUAAAAGCCUCUGUUAGUUUCCUUUUGGUCUCUCUAAUUUUUUGCUGACCUUGUGCUUUCUCUUACUAACUGACAAUUGGAUGUUCACUUGGUGUUCACUUACUAACUGACAAUUUUCUAUGAAUUGUUGCUUGAUUUUCAUUCAUCAUGUGUACAUCUACAUAGGAAGCCUUGUUUAUUACCUCCUCUCUCAUGCUUACUAUCCUAGGAUUCUCUACCCUUCAUGUAUGUGAGUUUUAAAUUUUCAUCAUUAUAUAUGUUAUUAAACAUUAGAGAUUAUUUAAGGCAUCAUCUAUUAUCUGAAUUCUGCUUAGUCUUAGUUUGAUGUGCAUUAAUUAACUCUUUAAUUCAUACAUUUACAUUUUAGCAACUUGAUGUGAUUACUGUGGCUCAUACCAAAAAGGCAAUCUUAGGCUCAUCAAGGAAAGUCGAGCUUCCAAGUAACUUACUGGAUAUUAGAUCAUUUGUUUUAUUUCCCUAUGUUAUUAACAUUUUUUAGUGCUGAAUAUUUAUUUUUAUUGGAUGUGAGAUUUGAGUUUGUUGCUUUAUAUAAUUAUUUAGCAAUUUAAUUAUUUCUUCGCACCUUUUGUUUAUGAAGCUUUAAUUUUCUUUUUCAGUCAUACUAUUCUUUUUGUACUAUCUGUUUUUUUUUUUUUUUUUUUUUUUUUUAUAUUUAGCUUGGCAUUGUAGUCGAGAUGUGGAUGUGAGUUUUUUUUGCUGAAAAGAAACCCAUUGUGAUUUGAGUUUUUUUUUUUUUUGACAGACAAGACACCCAAUAUGAUUAAUUUCAGUAUCUUUUUUUUUUUUUUUCCAUGUUAGGCAGAUUGUUGAUGUUGAAAUUUUUGUGACUCAUUUGAAAGGCAUUAGGUAGAAUUUCUUAAUUGUAAUGAUAUUAUGAGCUCUGACAUUGAGUUCAUCUUCAUCGGAGUUGUUGUAUUAUAUUGAAGUUUGAUAUAAUAUUUAGGCGUGUAAUUACCAAAUUGUAAGGGGUUUUUUGCAGUUGGUGUACGUAACUUAAAAUACAAUUGGCAACCUUUUUGCAUUUUCAGAAUGCAAUUACCAACUGACUAGUCUGUUAUUGCAAUUAGAGUAUGAUACAUUAUAUUUGUUGCCUUGCAUUUUUGUAAUGAAAAUGCAAUAGGUACUUCGGUAUGUCAUUUUUUAAUCCAAUUAGCAAUUGGUUAGUCCGUUUUUACAAUUAGUGUAUGCAUAUUGUCAUGUUAUUGGUAGCCUUUUCAAUUUGCAUAUUGUUAGAAUGUAAAUACAAUAUGUGGUUUGUUAAUGCAAUUGAUAAACAGGUAAUGUCAUUUGCAUUCCAGUCAUGCUAUUGAUAAACAAAGCAGUCUCAUUUGCAUUCCAAUCGUGCAAUUGUCAUUAUCUGUGCAUAAUUAAUUGAAAAUAUAUAUACAAUAUGUGAUUUGUUAAUGAUAUUGACAGUCAAAGUAGGCUUAUUUGCAUUCCAGUCGUGCAAUUAACAAUCAUAGUAGUCCAAUGCUUUAUAUGUUUAUUAUGAAAAUACAAAAGAAAAUUGAACUAUGCAGUUGGACAAGUUUAUUUUCCAAAAUAAACAUUUGAAUUGAUUAAGGGUAAAAUAAAUACAAGUUAAUAGAAAGUAUUACGUCAUACAGAUCCACAUAAAUAAAGGUACAAAGCAUUAGAUUUUCACAUAUUAACUUCUAGGACAAACUACAGUAAAUCCCCCAACCUAUAUGGUCAUUUACGAGUUCAAACAUGAUUUUGGAGACAUUUACGAGUACAUACUUAACGUCGCGAAAAACCUAUAAUUUGCCCCAUUUGUUAGAGAAACCGUUAGUGAAUCUGUUAAAUACUGAUGUGGCGAAUAUGAGUUUCAUUUUUUUAAUGAGGUGGACUUACAGGUGGACAAAUAAAUACUAAAAAAAUUCUAUAUUAUUUAAAAAUAAUUAUAAACGAGUAAAUAAUAUUAUUCAAUUAAAUUAAAAAGAAAACAAUUUCUCUUCGUCUCUUUCUCAUCCCAACCCCACCCCACCCCACCCAAACUGACUGCCUUUUCCCACACCCACACCGACCUACCCUCCCUUCGUGCACACCGCCGUUAAAGUCAUCGCCACUGACCUCACUGUUGUUGGAUAGAACCAAGGGCAAGAUCUCUAUCCUUAUCAACUGCCUCUUCCUCUUUCUUCCUUGGGAGACCUUACGAUCGCCAUCUUCAUUCCUCGACCUCCCAAUUAAGGAUUGAUCGUCGCUUGGGUUGGGGGUUUUCAAUUUUCCGAAUUGAUCGUCGUCGACCUCAACCAUGGUUGUCACCAGAAGAUGCGAUUUCAACUUCCAAAGGGAUCAAGUUGCAGUUCUCAAAAAACGCAGACUUCGUUUUGGGGCUUCUGAGAAACCAUGGAUUCUCUCAAACCCAGAUCUCAAAGUUUUGCAAAACUUGCCUAGAAAGUAAUGGGUUUUAAUGGGUUGCCCUUCUUUUCUUGCUUUCUGGCUUUGUUUGGAUGCUGAGAAAAUAGAUUUGAGUGUAUGUUUUGGUUGAAUGAAACAGAACAAAUGGUUUUUCUAUAAAAUUGUGAUGAAAUCCAGUCAUUUACACUCUGUGAUGUGUUUUGUAUACUCAUUCAAAUGCUUCAUUUUGGAUUUGGGUAGUGGAAUUCGAUUGAGCUGAACUUGGGGUUUUAUCCUUUUGGAAGAAACAAAGAGGUUCUCAGUGCUAGAUUCACGAAAUUUGGUUUGCACAAUAAUGAAACAGAGGGAUUAUAAGCAAUUGGGCAAGAUGAUGGCUGCAACGGAGAGAAGGGGGGUGGUGGUGUGGGGUGGGGUAGAGACGACGUGGGGGCUGGGAAGGGGUGGGCAAGGUCGUCGGGGUGGUUAGCUAGGUUGGAUAAGAGAGAUGAGAUUUUUUUUUUUUCAUUUUUAAUGAUUUUAAUAUUAUUUAAAAAUUAUUUUAAACAUGUAUAUAAUUAUUUAUUAUUUAUUUGUCCACUUGUAAGUCCACGCCAAUUAAAAAAUGGGUCCCAUAAAUGCCACAUAGGCAGAUAAUGGAUUUUCUGACGAUCUCGCAAACAGAGGGGGCAAAUUGUAGGUUUUCCGCGACGUUGAGUAUGUACUCGUAAAUGUCCCCAAAAUCAGGUAUGAACUCGUAAAUGACCCUAUAGGUUGGGGGGUUUACUGUAGUUUGUCCUAACUUUUAUUGUUAAGCUCUUUUUUGUUAAGUUAGAUCUCACUUUUAAAUGAUGAUGGGAAAUUUGUCUCUUAUUUGGCAAUUGCCAUUGAUAUAUAUAUAUAUAUAUAUAUAUAUAUAAAAGGUGCAUGUUUUACCAUCAAUUACCCUAUUUCCAUUGAUUAAAAAAAAAAAAAAAAACAAAGAGCAUGUUCUACCAUCAAUUACCCUAUUUGCUUCACUUUUGACUUCAUUUUCACAUGAUUUCAGUUCUCAUUCCCAUUCCUAAUGCUUUUGUAACCCCAAAGUGAAUAAGUAUUUUUUUGGGUACAAAAAUAAUGCGAUUUUUGGCCUUUGUAAAUAUGUUGUAAGCAUGUAUUUAAAAUAUAUUAAAAUCAAUAAAAUAAAUUUAUAAAGGGAAUGUGGGAUAUUAGAGAAGUAAAUUAGGUCCUUAUCCUUGUAAACCCAAGGAUUUACAAUAGUAAGGAAUCGUAUGCAAUUGACAAACAGUCAGUGGGAAAUUGAAACUGAAUAAUGCAAUUGACAAAUAGUAAGAUCAAAAUUGCAAUUGACAAAUAGUAAAAUGAAACAUUUGGAAGGUAAAUUAGGUCCUUAUACUGAUAAACACAAACAUUUGCAAUAUUAAGGUCUCGUAUUAUUCUAUAUUAAACAAGUGUGUUCGAUAAGAGUAUAAAACCCAUCCUUAAUAUUGUAAUAUCGUAAUUUACAAGAUAAAGACAUAUAGUACAAUAUUAAGGUAACUUGGGGCAUUAGGAAAGUAAAUUGGGUCCUUAUAUUUGUAUAAGAAUAGGGUAAGAGUGGACCUUGGUGGAAUAAAUUUGGUCUUUGUCAUUGUAAACAAGGGAGUUUACAACAUAUAGGACUUCCGUUAUAUUGUUAUGGACAGAGAGAUUCCAUAAAGUUAUAAAAGAGAUCCUUAAUAUUGUAAUAUCGUAAUUUACAAAACUCGUAAUGACCCCCAAUACAAUGUUAAGGUAAGAAUGAACGUUGGAGUAGUAAAUUGAGUCAUUAUCCUUGUAAACAAGGCGGUGGUUACAACAUUAAGGAUUCGUAUCAUAAUAAAAUGGACAUAGUCGUCCCAUUAUAUUGUAAAAGUCAUCCUUAAUCUCGUAAUACCAUAAUUUACAAUAAGAAGGAACCCUUGUAUAAGAAUGGGGUAAGAGUGGACCUUGGUGGAAUAAAUUUGGUCCUUAUUCUUGUAAACACAAUGGUUUACAGUAUUAAGGACCAAUUUUACAAUGUUUUGGACCUCCAUGUUCCAUAAACUUUGUAAAGUGUAUCCAUAAACUUGUAAUAUCAUAAAUUACAAUAAAAAGGAUCUCUAUUACAUGGUUAAGGUAAUUAUGGACCUUAGAGAUGUAAAAUUGGUACUUAUUCUUGUAAAUGCAAUGGUUAAUAACAUUAAGGAAUCGUAUUACAAUACUUUGGACGUAAGCUCUCCAUAAACUCGUAACGCUGAUCCAUAAUCUUGUACAUUACAAGAUUUGGGUUCUCAUUUGUGAUUUUUUGCACCAUGAUUACAAUUUUGAGGUUCUUCCUUAUCCAUAGCGUUGUAAUAUCCUGAUUUACAAUUGAAAGGAUCCCUCUCACUAUAAGGUAAGGGUAGACUUUGGAGAAGUAAAGGUGAUCCUUAUUGUUGUAAACACAAGGAUUUACAGUAUUAAGGACCUCGAUGAGAUUACGGAUCCACUUUACAAGUUUAUGGAAUGGUUUACUAGAAUAAGGACCCAUUUUACAUCCCUACGGUUCAUCAUUAAUUCCUUGUAAUAUGAAUCUAUAUCCUUGUAAAAAGCUGAUUUACAACAUUAUGGAUUUGGUGAACCCUAACAUUGUAAUCUAAGAGCAAAACCUUGUAAAUUGUUACCAAAACUUGUAAGUUACGAGUUUAAGGAAUUGGUAAUGGUAACUCAAUCACUUUCUUCUCAUUCAUUGCCUCAUUUAGUAUUUUGUUAUGUUACAUACUUAUAUAAAAUUUCGAGUAUUUUAGUUGAAAUUGUAUAUAUUAUAUUUAAAUAUCAUAUUUAUGUAUUAUAUUUUGAUUAUAAAGUGCAAUAUAUAUUAUUUAAGUAUUAUAUUAUUAUAUAUUCUUAUUUAACAUUUUUUUUAUCGGAACAUGAACCAAUUAUAUUACGAAGAUAUGAACAAAAAAACAGAGACGGGUCAUAAGGGAAAUUUUUGUUGGUAGAUGCUAUAAGUCAUCUUUUGUUAUAAGACAUUUGUUUAAAGUUAUUUUUAGAAUAAGUACGAAUACAUAUAUAUUUUUAUAUAAUAAUAUGUCAUCUUGAGAAGUAAUUAUAAUAUGGCUUCAAAGUAUGGUCAUAAAAUAUUUAUUAUAAUAUAAGUGGAUAUUUAUUGAUAUUAUGUCUUAAAAGUUGAAUAUGUUAUCAGUGAUUGAUAUUAAACACGUAAACAAGUUAUACUAUAUAGUAGUAUUUUAGUUCCUUAUAGUAAUUUAUUCACAUUUAAGAAAUAACAAAACAAAAAGAAUAGUUUAGAUGUUCAAAAAUUAUUUUUGGUUACAAGUAAAAAAAAAAAAAAAAACUAUUUCAGUUUGGACAAUUGGAUUUAUAUAAAGUUACCCAAUUGAUUUUGGUUACAAGUUAUAUAAAGCAACCCCUAACUCAUGAAUCCUGAAAAAAUUUGCAAAUGUCGUGAAAUAAUUGUAACAACAUUAUGGUUAACCCUAAUCCAUAACAUUGUAAUACCCUAAUUUACAAAGAAAAUGACACAUAGUACCAAUAUAAGAAUGGACUUGGAGGAGUAAAAUUAUGUCAUUAUCCUUGUAAACACCACUGAAAAUCUUGUAAUCUAAGAGAAAACUUGUAGACUUUCUACUUUUAUACUUAUUUUUCUUGACUUUUAAUCCUAACCAUGUACUAUAAAAUCCAUGGCCAUGUUAGGAAAAGAAUAUAAAUUUAUAAUACUUCGUGGAUAUCUACAAAAGUACAACCAUAACAAGUAAUCUAGUUCUUAUUUUAGAAAUUGAUUUCAACCAAUUAUAUAGACAAAACUUGAGGUGAAAAAAUUUGAUGGAUAAAGCCUUUCAAGCUCUCAAAUAAAUGUUGAUGCGCAUUCACCAAUUCUAUGAAACAAAAGAAACAAAAAAUUAAAACUAUCAACCUCAAUUGAUUUUUAAAAAGUAGCAUAAAAUGUAGAGAAAUUAACCAUAACUAGCCAUCAUUAUUCAUAUAAAUAAAAUCAGCAAAUCAUAAUGAACUUGAGUAAAGCUACAAUGAGGUGACACAACGAAAUCAGCAAAAAAAAAGAAGUCAAAUAGUUCUCAUAAAAAAAGAGUGUCUAAAACGGUAAGUUUAGAUUUAUAGAAGUAAACAAAUACCAUUGCGAAAUUCAUAAGCAUGUCAUCGCAAGUUAAAAAGAAUAAACUCAAUUGAAAAUAACAUGUCAAAUUAUAUGCCAAUUGCCAAACAGGAAAGACAUAAUUGCAUAAUCCUUGUGCAAUUGCAUUUACAUUAAAUAUUAACAAAAUGUGAAAACUUGACAACUUGUAUAACCGGUAACCAAUAUUUUAAAAAUUCUAGACUUAUCAUAAAGGACAAAUGGUGCAUGGGUGCACUAUAGAAGGUGCCUCAAAGCUGUGCCCUUGCUGUAGCCAAUAUAUAAACUAUUAAAUCUGCCCACCAAAACCAAUCAUAUAAUAAUAUAAUAUAUAAAGUACAGUCCCGAUCUCUUGGACCACAGGAGUCCAAGAGAUUGUGGUCACCCACCGUUGGAUAUUAAUCCAAUGGUUCAAAAUGAUAUAUAUAAAUGCAAUAUGACAUAAAUGAUUAUUACCCGAUUCAAGUCAACCGUUGAAUUUACAUCCAACGGUGGGUGACCAUAAAUCUCUUGGACUACAGGGGUCCAAGAGAUCAGGACUGAUAUAAAGUAACCAAAAGCAAACAAGAAGCGAUUGAUAAGGAUAUGGUUGUCCAUGCUCCCGGUUGCUUGCUUAUCUCCACUAAUCUCUGAGUCCGAGUCCUCUUGCUCAUCGCCAAAAAAAUAUCCAAAAGCAUGAACUCUACAGGUAAAGGGAUUUGAAGUUAGCAGGCUUGGUAAAGUAAUUGCAACAAAGAGGUCUCUGGCAACUGAAAUCUGGUCUCUUGGGAUCUCUUUUGGCUUCGCAGGCGCAUCAAUACAUGAGCUCGAAGAAGUUGCCGAUUCUGGAAGAGCGACCAGGGCCGCCUCGAAGCCAACUGAGCAGUGGGGUUCGAGAGAGAUCGGGUGAGAUUGUGAGGUUCUGAGCUUCAUGGAAAGUGUAGAAAAUUGUAGAGCCUGUGGUGGGAUUGACUUGUUUUGUUGGGUUUGUGUUUUGAAGCUAUAGAGAGUGACACAGAAGAUAUUGAUACACAGAAAAGCAUGAGCAGCUCAAUCAAAUCCAAGAAAGAAAAACAAUGAAGCAGAGUGUUUUGAUCGAAUAUCCCAGCUGGUAUUUUAGAGAUAUUCGUGCUGAUAACGUAUUAUAAAACUAAAGAGAUUGUGGAGAGAAUUUAAAGAAUUCAAAUAGCAAUAGGAAUGUUGUUAUGAUGUUUUUAUUGAAUCUUUCCGUUCAGUCUUUUACUAAGAGGAGGAUGCCUUAUUUUAUAAGCAAAGAUUAUUGCCUCCCGUGGUUGUAUAGUUUGCUCUCAGGGAAUGAUGGCAGACAAGUUUCAUCAUGAUGUCCUUUAUUAUUUCCAAAUGUGUGGGCUCCACUCAAGACUUUACAACGGCCAAAAAUAUUUCUUUUUCUUCUUAACAUGGAAUUAACAGGCAACUGGUCAAUUGUCGACAUUAAAAUGAAGGGAUUUGCUUCUUAUUUGUAUAAUUGACUUAUUAUUGUAUAAUAGAGUUUUAUUUAAAUACACUGAAGAGGAAUGAAUUAUUGAGAAAUUUCCCCAAAUAUUUUAGCACAAUAUUAGAACGACCAUCAUAAGUCAUCUCAAAAUCUCUUUUCUUUUUCCUCAAAUUGUUUUCAAACUCUAAAUUUAUACUCAUACAAAAACCCAAAUCAUAUUCAAACAUCAUAGUUUACCUGUAUCCUUCCCAAAGCAUAUAUAUCCCAAAACAAAUUCCGCUACAAUGUCAAAUUCAAUUGAAACCCCUACCUUAUAACUGCUUGCAACUCCACACCAUUCAGAAUGACAAUUUUGGGUUGACUGCUGAAAUCAUGUGGAAUGAGACCAACUAUAGUCUUUAGUCUGAAGUCAUGGAGAUGCGAAUUGCCAGGCGAGAAAAAUAUAGGUACCUGACUAGUGUCAUGCCCCAAAUAUAGGUAUUUGUCUACAGUUGUUAGACCAGACACGUAUUUGAACUUUUGACACACAGGUAACUUAGCACACUAUAUAAUCUUUGUUCUUGUUUUCUUUUCAUUCAGAGUUGCAGGAGACGAAUGUAGAACAUAAACUAAGUAUAUCAGAAGACAGAACUACUGGUUCGAACCAAACGUUGAAAAAGAUUUGAGCUAUGAACACCAAGCUUACCAUUUGAAAGGUUAUUAAGCAUAGAAUAUUCUUGAGAUGCAAUAUUCAAACAAUAUGAUAAUAAUGAUGCUGAUUUAUAUUACAUGUUUUUCUUUUUUGGAUUAUGAAAAGAUUAUACAUGUUCUCCAUCUUAAAAUUGAAAAUCAACACUUAUAUACCGAUAUAUCUUAAGCUUACACGCAAAGGCUUUGAUGUGGUUAUAGAGUCUUCUGUUUCAGGUGGUUGAGAUGUGGUCAUAGAGUCUUCUGCAGCUAUUGUAGGAGAAACCAACAAAGGCUUUGGUGCAAUUUGCAAGGAAUGAAGGGGUCCUUCCAGCAUCUCUACCACUUUGCUCAUUGAUGGCCGAUCAUCAGGAUUGGUCUGAAUGCACCAGAGACUUGUUAAUACCAUCUUUCUUGCUAUUUCUUUUUCCCCCUCUGUGGUUGCCCCAAAAACAUUAUCAUCCUUGUCUAGCUCAAGAUCUUUAUAAACGUAAUGCGGAAACAUUUCACUCGUAUGAGACACUGCCGAAUCCAAAUUCUUUCUUGCUCCAACCAUUUCAAGAACCAACAUCCCGUAGCUGUAAACAUCACAUUUGUGAGAUACGCCUCCGAAGUUCCAGCUAAAUACUUCUGGUGUGAUGUAUCCUGCAGUUCCCCUUGUCCCCAGCAUCGAUACGAUACGCUCCUUCUUUUUGCACAAUUUGGCAAGGCCAAAAUCUGCUACUUUUGGGCAAAACUCUUUGUCCAAAAGAAUGUUCUGUGGCUAAGGUCAAAAUGCACAAUUCUUGUGUUACAUCCACGGUGUAAGUAUUCUAGUCCUCGGGCAAUGCCGACUGCAAUUUCAGAUAGUUUUUUCCAUUCUAAGCGAGAAUUUGCCAUUUCAGAUCCUUGCUUACGUAUGAAAUUAUCCAGAGAUUCAUUAGGCAUGAAUUCAUAAAUCAAAGCUCUUUUGUUCCUCUCAUAACAGAAUCCACAAAGAGUGACUAUGUUGACAUGGGAAGUUCUACCAAUGCUAGCAACUUCAUUGAUGAAGUCUUCUCCAUUACCCUUGGACUCACUUAGGACUUUAACAGCCACCAGAAGGCCAUCAGGUAGCUUUCCUCUGUAUACUGUGCCAUAUCCUCCAUAACUUCCUGGAUGUCAAUCUCAUUCUUCUUAUAUUUCUUCAAGAAAAGCACUUUUUUUUUUUUUUUUUAUGCGUAUACCAUACAAACAAUGAAAACAAUGGCGGAAGUUACACCCGCUAAAAUCCCUAUAAAUUCAAAAAUAUUUUCAAGUUAUGCAUUUCAUUAAGUUGUGAAAGACAAAAGCAAUAGAAUAAAGUGAUAUUGAAAUAAAACCUGGAACAAAAUACUUGUUUCUUUAUAUUUCACUUCUCUUCUUGUAUUUUUAUUUAGAGAUAUUUAGUCAUACACCCAUUCUUAACACUAAUGAUAUAAAUAAACCCUACACCAUUUAAUUUCUAUAAAUAAAUAAAAACCCAAAAACUGACAAUUGGCCUAUUGAAUUGAAUUUUGAUUAUUAAAUUACUUUGAUGCCCUAUUGAGUGUUUUGAGUUUUUUUUAUGAGGUUUUAAGGUUGGGUUUGUUUUAAGAAAUCAAUGACAGUUUUGUAAUUUAUAAGAAGUUAAAAGUCUUUUUUUUGUGUUGCAACUUGUAAGUGAGCUUUGGAUGUGUUUUUAAAGUCCAUUUCAUAUAGUUUUUUUUUUAAAUAAUUUGGGCCCCUAUAUUGGGUAUAAUAGUAAAUCUACCUUUAAUUUAUUGUAGUUAGUUAGAUGAUAGUUAAGCUCCUAGUCAUUUUAAGCAGUCAUGUAACUUUUAAAUGAACUUUGGAGGGCUACCAUUUAAUAGUUACUGAAUCAAGGGCUAGAACGAAACAAAGGAACCAAGCAGAGUUACCUAUUGCAAUCUUUUCUCCAGAAACAAUCACAUGAUAGAGAAAUGUUGAUCAAUAAAUGAAUAUAUAUAAUCCAUUGGUAAAAAAAUAAAAAAUAAAAAAUAAAAAAUAAAAAAAACCACGCCAACAGAUAUUUUUUAGUUACAUGUUGCUAAUUUCACUAAAUCUAGUCAUUUUGUUGCCAAAUGUUCACAAUUUGAACAUUUUAAAACCAAUAAGAAUCCUGUUGUUUUAAUUUGACAGUGGAAUUUCAUAGCAGGAAAGCAAAGUAGGUACGCAAAACUAAAAGACGAGAAAGUUUUGGAUAUCGAACAGUCAAAACACUACGUAAAAAUUUCUAAAAAUUCCUAAUUCACGACGGCUUAUUGUUGCUAUCUUUCUAAAUCUUAUCCGUGAAACAAGAAAUAAAAAUACGAUGUCAACAAUUCCUAGUUAGCUGUCAGUGGUGGUCCCAGAUUCGAACUUCUAUUGUAAUUUAAUGGCGUGUGAGAAUCCUCUUUUCGCUAUAAUUUUCACUAUUACUUAAUACUAAAAAAAAAAUUAUAAAAUGAAGAAAAAAUUUAAACUUCAAGUACGUAUACUAUUGAAUAUGGUACCUAAUAUGUCACAAACCCGAUCCCCACAAAAGCAAACGGGCCGGCUCGAAUGGGAGUCAAAUCCACAGCUUUUUACAUCAAGCCAUUUAGAGCAUUCAUUAUCAUAAGGGUUGGUAUAGUUAACGUUAAAGCCUUCCAUGAUCGCUUCCUGAAACAACGACCUAUUGGCACCCAGCUUCGCAGCCGCGGUCUUGAGAAUCAGCACUGUAGUUUCAAUCUUACAAUUGACACUUGUGGGGGUCUUUUUAUUCCAGCAGCCUGAAGAAUGGGCCUGUGUCUGAAUUCGAGGAUCAGACCCCAAGAGUGUCUCGAAAGGGUAGCUGAGUCUUAGGAAACACUUUGGUCUUCUUCACCAAUGAAACCAACAGUCGCUUACAGAUAAAUUCUUGGGCUUUGCAUGAGAAACUUGUGGCAUGGGAGCUGAGCAUUCACGAGUUUAGCAUGAGAGAGAAAAAUCUUGGGUUUUCUAUGAGGAACAGAGGUUUGAAGUAAUGAUUUCGUGAGGAUUUGCUGAGAGGAGAGAGAGAGAGAGAGAGAGAGAGAGAGAGAGAGAGAGAGAGAGAGAGAUUAUGGUGGAUGAAUAGGUGUUGUGGGUAAUUUUCCAGUAGCUUGACGAAAGCUUUGUCAGGCUCUUGGGUUGCACGACAGAAGAUAAAAUGGGAAGAGAUGGAGGAGCAAGGCUCGAAAUUGCCGGGGUUUCAGAGAUGAGAGAUGAUGCUUGCUCUCUGGAUGUGUGUUUAUGGUAAGAGAGGAAGAAGAUGGAAGCAUGGGUGGCUUUAACAUAUUUCUAGUAGCUUGACGAAAGCUUUCAAGCUCUUGGGUUGCACGAUAGAAGAGAAAAUAGGAAGAGAUGGAGGAGUAAGGCUCGAAAUUGCAAGGGUUUCAAGGAUGAGAGAUGAUGCUUGCUCUCUGGAUGUGUGUUUUGGGAGAGAGAGGAAGAAGAUGGAAGAACAGAGCAUGAAAUUGAAGGGUUCCAGAGAUGAGAGAUGAUGCUUGCUCUCUCAGGAGGUGGGUUUUUGGGAGAGAGAGAAAGAAGAUGGAAAAACAUAGCAUGAAAUUGAAGGGUUCCAGAGAUGAGAGAUGAUGCUUGCUCUCUCUGGAUAUGGGUUUUGAGAGAGAGAAAGGAAGAAGAUGGAAGAACAAAGCAUGAAAUUGAAGGGUUCCAGAGGGGAUGCUUGCCUUUGAUGAAUUCUCAUGGUUGUUGGGAGGCUUGCAGCAACCAAGGUGAGUUCUCUUUGCUGGGUAGAAAGUGGCUCCCUUUAUAGGCACUGAAAACCUUAAUUUUAUCAAGCCACCCUCUCCCCUUUUUCUUCACUUUCUUCUAUUCCAUCUUAUUUGGUGAAACUUCCCUAGCCUGAGCAUGUAGGCAUGAAGCUUUUUGGAGUUCCAAGGUCCUCAGGCAGCUGGACUUCUCCACGUAGGUGAGGAAUCACCCACUUUUGCUUCUUGUUUUCUCACCAAAGCUUGAAGAGGAAAAAAUGGGUAUGGGUGCUAGUCAAAAGGUGAUCAGCACAUAGGUUUGCUUGGUUUUGAUGAUUUUGACAGAUAUGCUAGAUAUUUUCCAUGAUGCUGGGCUGGGCUAUUGGUAUCUUGUUUCCAACGGCCUGUAAGUUUGCUCAAGUUGCUGGAAAUAGCCUAUUUGAUCAAGGUGCUGGAUAUUUUGGUCGAUGUGGGAUUUUUCCAAGUGUUUGCAAGCCAUUGAGCUAUUGGGCUACUCCUUCUCUCUUAGACUUACCCAUAUGUUUGGGCUCAAGAAAUGGGCUCGAGUUUUGGUGCUCCCAAGCAGCCCAAAACUUCCACUUCUUGGCCCAUCAAUGGGCCUCGUGAAUGCUCGUAACCAUCCAUAUCACAACCCGCUCAGCAAGCCUCAAGAAUUUCCGUGGCUUGGGUCCACUUAAGCUUGUAGCAUGGCAUGUUGCUUAAAUAAGGAUUUUUUGCUUGGCGUUGUACUGGGCCGAAAAUAUAUUUGGGCCCAGCCUUGGAUUUUUUGGGCCUCAACAACACCGCUCAUAAUAUGGUCCAUCGAGACCGUCCUGAUCAAGUAAUAAGAGUCUUUAGAAGGCAGAUUGACGUUGCAGUGAAACCAAUUCUUGGGCUUGGGGGUAAUAGUAGAGGAAUUACAGUCGUAGAAAAUGGACACCUCCAUGCAGUGGGGGAUCCAGGAUUCUUGAGCCAAAGGGUCUUAGUGUAAAAGUUUCGAAAUUUUUCCUACAAAGAAAAUAACACUACAAAAAUUGAAAUACGGUGAAGGCUCAAGGCAGUGGUGGUCAGCGCAGGCAGAGAGGUAGUGGUGAGGUUGGGAAGUUGGCACUCCUAGGGUUGUGAGAUAUUAAUUUGGGAAUGAAAUUGUUUGGGGAUGUGCUGUGGAGUAGGGUACAUGAAAGGGGAGGACGAUGAUCAUUUUAUUUUUUAUUUUAAAGCCUGGCUCAAAAUAACAUAAUUUUUAGGCCAAGCCAAUUGAAAAAAAUAGAAUGAGCUAUAUACCAAACGACAUCGUUUGGCCAGGUAAUGCUGGGAAUCAAAAUUGAAAAACCGAUACCGAACCCAAAUCAUGCCAAUCUCGUACCGUGUUGUUCGUGUUGCAUAAUAAAUAGUAUAAUAUAUCAUACCGUUUCUGUUUGACACGACAUCGGUUCCAUAUUUCUCAUUCCGUUUGGUGUUAUAUAGUAUCCAUUUUCUUUAUUUUUUAUUUAUUUUUCAUAUUCUCUCUUUCUUUCUUUUUAUUUAAUGUUUCCUCUUCUUUUUUUUAUAUUCUCUCUCUCUCUCUCUCUCUCUCUCUCUCUCUCUCUCUCUCUCUCUCUCUCUUUCUUUCUUUCUUUCUUUCUUAUUUUCCUUCUUCUCUCUCUCUCUCCCUUUAUUAUUUUCCGUCUUCUCCUCCUUCUUCCUCUCAGGUUCUUUCUUCCCAGCCUACCCCGCCACUCCAUCCCCAUCUAUCUUCACCAUUUUUCCUUUUUCUUUCCCUAUCUUUCUUUCUUCUUCUUUCUCAUUUUUUCUUCUCUUCUCUCCCUCCCCAUCACUUUCUUUCUCUGCAUUACCCAUAGGGGACUUUCACCGAGCACCUUGUGUGCACACAAAGGGUCACUUUGCUGCUGUCCAAGGGGUCGCUCAUGGUGUCAACAACUAUAUUUCCAGCAUCCUAAGGGGUCGUGCGACCCCUCUUGUCCCAACGUGCAUUUGCCACUGACUCCAUGUCGUCGUUCUCAUUGUAGGCGAAGAACUCGGAUUUGAUAGUUGUGUUGGCGAGUUUGUCUGUGCAUGUCGAGUUCCAGAGAUUUGAGCGGACUAACCUUAGAUUUUUGUGAACUGGGUUAAGUUUCGAGAACUCGAUACCUCAGUGACAUGAUGGUUAGCUCGGGCGAGUCGUCCACACAGCUGAUGUGGAACUCCGAUGGACCACAAUAGGAAGGGCGUGCCCCUCCGGUGAUCGGGUAUGAGAGGCCUUGGAGCGAGCCAGUGGCGUAUCCAGGAUUCUUGAGUCAAGGGGUCUUAGUGUAAAAGUUUCAAAAUUUUUCAAAAUAACACUACAAAAAUAGAAAGACGGUGACGGCUCAAGGCGGUGAUGGUCAGCGCUGGCGGAGAGGUAGUGCUGAGGUUGGGAGGUUGGCACUCCUAGGGUUGUGAGAUAUUAAUUUGGGAAUGAAAUUGUUUGGGGAUGUGCUGUGGAGUAGGAUACAUGAAAGGGGAGGAGGAUGAUCUUUUUUAUUUUUUAUUUUAAAGCCUGGCUCAAAAUAACAUAAUUUUUAGGCCAAGCCAACUGAAAAAAAAUGGAAUGAGCCAUAAAACAAAUGACAUCGUUUGGCCAGGUAAUGCUGGGAAUCGAAAUCGAAAAACAGAUACCAAACCCAAAUCAUGCCAAUCUCGUACCAUGUUGUUCGUGUUGCAUAAUAAAUAGUAUAAUAUAUCAUACCGUUUCUGUUUGACACGAUAUCAAUUCCAGAUUUCUCAUUCCGUUUGGUGUUAUAUAGUAUCCAUUUUCUUUAUUUUUUAUUUAUUUUUUAUAUUCUGUCUUUCUUUCCUUUUAUUUAAUGUUUCCUCUUCUUUUUUAUAUUCUCUCUCUCUCUCUCUCUCUCUCUCUCUCUCUCUCUCUCUUUAUUAUUUUCCUUCUUCUCCGUCUUUUCCUCCUUCUUCCUCUCUGGUUCUUUCUUCCCAGCCUCCCCCGCCACUCCAUCGCCAUCUAUCUUCACCCUUUUUCUUUUUCUUUCCCUUUCUUCCUUUCUUCUUCUUCUUCUUAUUUCUCAUUUUUUCUUCUCUUCUCUCCCUCAUCAUCACUUUCUUUCUCUGCAUUACCCAUAUGGGACUUUCACUGAGCACCAUGUGUGAACACAAAUGGUCGCUUUGCUGCCGUCCAAGGGGUCACUCAUGGUGUCAACAACCACAUUUCUAGCAUCCUAAGGGUGCGACUCCUCUUGUCCCAACGUGCGUCUGCCACUGGAGCGGGCCACAGGCGAAAGUCUGGGAGUAGGCGGGAGGGGUUUCCUUAGGCUAUGUUUCCUUAGACGAAAAGGAUGUUGUGGCGUCCAUGUUGUAGAAGAAGAAGAAGAAAAGAAGGAGGGUGAGGAUGGGAGAGAGGAGGAUUGGGUGCACUUUGGACGGGGGUUGGAGUGUUGUGGGCUUGCUGGUAAAUUCCAAUAGAGAUUAAAUAUAGGUUUGAUGAAGAACGCGUUGAUUAACUACAACUUGACUUGUGGUCUUGGACUGUCGGUUGUCUCUGUUCUUUUUAUGUGGUUAUAAACGUAUGAAAUCUUCCCAGUUUUCUUUGACGAGUUAUAUUUAUUAGAGCAUCUGCGUGAGGCUCUCUAAUGGGACAAAAGCUUGCAAUUUAUAUUCAUUAGCAGCAUGAAGGUAAAUAACAAGUUGUCUAAUGUGAAGAAAUUGUUGGAGGAAAAUAGGAAAUAUGAAUUUAAAGAUAAUAAUAUUUCUCAAUAAAAUUGUAAUCAUCAAAUACAAUAACAAAUUUACAUGAAAUUAAUGUAAAUUAAUAAACACAAAUAGAAAAUACUGACAACUUUAGCGGUUGUGGCUUGUAAGAAUUGCAAUGUCUUAAAAACAAAUUUCGCCAUUGCUCUUGUGCUCACAGUUCUAUGGCAUCUAUCUCCCAAGAUUCAACAAUUGAUAAUCCUAAAUUGAAGCACUUCAAUUUAAGACUCUGGCGAAUGAUAAGUGCAUUGUUUCCUAUAUUUGUAUAUCUCUUAUAUUUGAUUUUUGUAGGGAAAAUUAAUUAAAAAUAGGAUUAUUACCUUACUUUCCUUAUUUUCAGCUAUUACGCGCUCUUGGAAGGGUUUUGACUGAAAAUCCACUUUUCGAAUGAAUUUUAGUGCAAGGCCAGGUGGAGAAGAAAGCUAGGACAUUGAGGAUCAUUGUAUCAAAGUUUCAUAAUUUUCUACCAAGCCAAAUGCUCAAGACUAGCAAGUCAACACAACCUAAGUUGAAAUCCCGUUUGAACUGCACUACUAUGGAAGGUUGAAGAUUUGAAGACUUUUCCGAUUUUUUCUAGUGGUGUGUGAUAUAUGCUUGGAAAGCUUAGAGAUGCUUAGAAAACUUAGAGAUCAAGCUAAAGUUCUCAUAUUUGUCUAGGAUUUUCAAGGAAGCAGAAAGUCCCAAAAAUAUGCGUGCCAGUUGGCUGAUGUGCUUCAAAGACAAAGAAUGAUUCUUUCCUAGUUUGUUUCUUUAAUUGUUUGGGAUUUUAUUUUGCUUUUGGAGAGUUUUUCCAUUAGAGUAGGUUUUAGUUGUUUUAAACUAUAUAAGGUCACCCUAAGCUCUCUCUCUAUGGACCAUCUUGAUACCAUAUACUUUUUCACCAUAUUUCAAUACACCCAUAAAUAUAUAUGAGAGAGAGAGAGAGAGAGAGAGAGAGAGAGAGAGAGAGAGAGAGAGAGAGAGAGAGAGAGAACGAAGGUGUUGCUGUGGAGAAUCAGAGAUCAAAUCCAUCUGCCAAAUCGGUUUUAUGACAACAAUUAUUUUGUUUAUCUUCUCUUUUGUCACGAACUAAUUUGCCUUACUAGGGCUACGAUGUAGCCUAACCAUGAAUACUUACUUUUAUAGUUAUAUUAAUUUCUUAUUAUUAUUCCAUGUUGAGCAUUUGUUACUGUUCUUAAUGCUUUGAAUAUCUAGCCAAUAUUUAAUUGAUUUAAUGAUUCAAGAGGAGACCGAGAAGAGAUGUUUGGUGCUUGCUUCUUGUAACAAAUACCAUAUCUUGAAUGAGUGCCCAUGAGGGACACUCAUGCAGUUUUCUUGCAGGUUCUCAUAGAACUUAAUGGCUUCUUAAUUUUCUAAAUUCUUUGCUUUGGGAGAAAAUGGAUUGUUAAUUAAGAAUUCUUUUGAUUAAGCCCUAGAGGGGAUACCAAAUGAAUUAGGAGAAACCAACUGUCAACAUGGGUAGUAAUUAGGGUUAAUUGGCUAUAAGAAUUAAUUGGAAUUGGUAAUACAUUAACAAAAAAUAAAAAAAGGAAUAAUAACAGAGGUAUGUUUUUGCCAAGGCUUUUGGAUUAUCUCUCGCUCGCUAGGAGAGACUAGCAUUAGGGUUAAUGUUUGGAUAUAGGUUAUGCCCUCUGGCCGUCGUAGCUGUUAAAAUUCUUCUCCCAGUGCUUCAUCGUCCUCCCAUGUCACGUUCUUUUCUUUCGUUGAUGUGACCUUUCGAAAUCGUCUUUCUUCGUGGCUGCUUGGAAUUAUGGUGGGCGACUCAUUGCCACUCGUUUUCGGCGAAGACUGUUUGGCUUGGUGGUUAUGUCGUGGUCUCCUAGAAUUCGCAUUUCAUUGGUUCGCAAGUUUUUGGCGGGUCUGUUUGUCGUGGUGGUUAUGUCAUGGUGUUCUUAAGGUUCAUGCUUCGCUGGUGGUCUAGUCCGGUUUUUGCAUUGGUGUGUAGUUCUCGGAUCUUGCGUGGUUGUGUGGCUUUGUGGGUUUGCAGCAUUCAUGGUGACUUGGUGGUGAGGGUUAUGAUAGAGAUUUUGCAAGGUACUAGUUCUACCCGCUGGGAGUUUAUUAGUGGUUGGCUUUUAUGGGUUCUUGGAUCAAAUGGAUCUGGUGUGUUCUAGGGUCCUCAAUGCUUCGGUUGCAAUCUUUGUCCCAAUCUCUUCAGGUACUUUUGUAGUAGGGAUUUGGGAUCCAGGUAGUGAUAGAUGUAACACCCCGACUCCAAAUUUAAUCUCUUAUUUAAAUUAUUUAAGUGAAAUUACAAAUUUACCCUUGGAGUAGGCGUAUUUUGGUUAUUUUCUUACCCGAAAGGAGUUUGGCGCAGUGACUAGUAUUUUUGGGAAGGUCGUACUGAGAUGAGUCCGUAGACACAUAGUGGGCUCGAUUCGGAGUUGAAACGAAGAAGUUAUGAGCAAAACAAGUUCAGUGGCAAAAUCGUAAAUAUUUUGAAAUAGGAUUUUUUAUAAAAAUCAAAUUCUCUCUCUCUCUCUCUCUCUCUCUCUCUCUCUCUCUCUCUCCCUGCGCGCAGAAACAGCCCCCUGUUACUGUUUAGCGCGGUGGUUUUUGGGCCACCAUCGUCGCAUCCGGCCACCGCUUGGGGUGGCACCGAUCCCAAAAGAACCGUGCCAUCUUCCUCUUCCCAUCCCGACCAAUCUCAGCCACUGGAACCACCUGUGCUCGCCGAAAAAUGCAAAAAUCCGACCGGUUUUAACCCAAAAUUCAAGGAGCUCGAUCUCUCUCAUCCGGCCACCGAUUCAGACGAGUAAGGUAUGGAUUUCUACAUAUUUUCCAUGCUCUAGCUGAUGGUUGGGUAGGAUUGCAUCGAUUUUGAGCGUAGGUAAUUUGAUUUACGAAUUGAAAUUCGGCCAGUUUUGGGAUCUCGAUUCUGGCCACUUCCGGUCAGUUUUUGGGGUAGGUCCAAGAACAAAAGUGGCUCCAAAUAGGGUGUUAUACCUAGGGUAAAAGUUUGGAGCUGUGGUUUUGAGAUUCUCCGACGAUGCGUAAUCGCUUUGGGCACCCAGCACUACCGGCGCGUGUGGCGGCUCAUGGGCGAGGGUAGUGAAGUUGUACUGUGUCUCCAUGAGAUCCUGAGGUUGUCACGAGUGCAUAGGAUUUCGCGGAUCUCAAUUCGGACGCUGUUUGACUAUCGAACGGAUAUCACCUAUUGCGCGUUAUCCGGGUUCGAUAGGUUAGGACUGUUGGAUGGUCUCAAAUUUAACAUAUGUUAAUCUAGGUAUUUCUAGGAUCGUGUAGGAAUUUACGGAUCGUGAAUCGGAGCCCCGGAUGUUCCGAUUUAAUAAUUUGAAGUUUAUGUUUUAUAUUAACCGUCAGAUCGUAUGAUCGUGAGCAAUCUGACCGUCCGAUCUGAACUAAACUUGGAAGACGAGUGUCAUAUACCUUGCAGAACCCAUAGGAUCUUUUUGAUCGAAAUUUGGAGGUCGUGGGCCCCAUGGGCCCGUUUGACCCUUGGUUGACCGUGAGUCUCUCGGAGUAAUCUCACCUUUCCAGGGGGAUUAUCGAGUGCUAGACUAUUGUUGAGAUUUACACAAUAUUAGAAGUAAAUUAUAUAUUUAUAUACAUUUCUAAAGGUAUAAAAGGAGUCUAGAAUGUCAGUUUGAAGUGCUAUACGCACUACCUUAGGUACCUCCCCGGAUUUUGGUUACACUACAAGUACCACAAUGUGAAUGUUAGGUCCUACGUGGCGUAGGUUAUCCAGCGUGCGGACAGGCCCCAUACGUGAUGUUGGUUGUACCGGCGUAUGAGGAGAUCUUGUGAUAUUAUGGUGAGGUCGCACGUGGCGUAGGUUAUCCGGCGUAUGGAUAUGAUGUUCAGGUCUCGCGUGACGUAGGUUAUCCGGCGUUAAGACAGGCCCCAUACGUGGCGUUGGUUGUACCGGCGUAUGGGGAGAUAUUGUGAUAGUAUGGUAUGGUCGCACGUGGCGUAGGUUAUCCGGCGUGUUGACAGACCCCAUACGUGGCGUUGGUUGUACCAGCGUAUGGGGAGAUUAUGUGAAAUACAGAGCAAUGAAAUAAGGUAUUGCCUAUAUGUGGAAUUGGAUUUUAAGGAAGAACUACGUGUGGCUUGAUCCCUCAGUGAGGGUACGUAGGCAGCCUAAGGUUAUUAGGUGCAGCCGCGGACAUAGAUAUGAUUGUGUUAUGAGGUUAAAACCUCGUAUGUUGAAAUUAAAAAAGUUAGAUGAUGUAUGUUGAAAUUUAGUAGUCAUAAUUUAUAUUUGAAUUUAUCGUUUGCCUUAUUUAAGGCAUGAAUCGAUUUGCUAGCAUGCUUGGUAGUUGAGAAUUAUUGGAAGGCCGAAGGCCGUUUAUGUGAAUUGCAUGAAAUUAUAUUGUGCGUGUUGCCAGUUGUGGAUAUUAAAUGUGUUUUUAUGCAGGUUGUAAUUUUGGAUAAUGUUCAAUUUACAGGGGAGACUCUGCCGAAAUUUCGGCAGAAAGUCUCGUACCCUUAUUCCAUUUUGGGAAAAAGGGUAUAACUUUAGAAGUGGGCCCGACAUCGGGGUGAUGUCUGGAAUUUCCACAAGAUUCACCUCGGGUUUUGGGAAAUUUGGGGCGGGUCCUUUCAAUGGAGCCUUUACUGUUGUUGAGCCAUAUUUCGCUGAGUUUACUUAAUAUGUGAUGGAGGCCAACCUCAUGGGCUCUCCCAAUUCUCCCAAUGUGUUCACUGGAACGUUUGUGGGUUUGGCAUCCAAUAAACGUUCUUAUUAUGAUGCUCUUUUGUUGGAAGUUCGCACUAAGAGGCUAAUCUUAAUCACCCCUGCUCUGUCGGUUAUGGUUCUAGAUUAAGACAAGUGAAGUUGGUAUUGGUAUUUCUGCUCGCUAUAUUCUAAUGAUCACCAUAUGUUGUUCUGUACAUCGAACUAUGCGUGCAUAAGAGUUUUCCUUUGAUAGUACUACAUUGUGGUAGGUUGUUCUUUGCUGGGCUUGGAGUUAUGCUUUGUUUUGUCUGUCUUCUUUCGGGUUCUUUGUAGACUCAUGUAGUUGGUAUUGGUACUUAUGCUCGCUAUGUUCUGACGAUCACUACACAUUGUUCUGUAUAUUGAACUAUGCUUGCAUAUGAGUUUUUCUUUUACAGUCUUACGUUGUAGUAGGUUGUUCUUUGCGGGGCUUGGAAUUGCGCUUUGUUUUUUUGUCUGUUUUCUUUUGGGUUCUUUGUAGCAGUCCAAAGUGGCCUGUUGCAGACUCUUGUGUGGUACUCUUUCAUACCUUGGGGUUUGUCCCAUGUGAUUUUCCUACGAAGAUUUUAAUGAAGCCAGUAUAUUCGUGCCGGUCUUUAUACGCUUUUUUGGCCUAUAAAUGAAAUCCUAUUCUCAAAAGGAGAGGUAUGUCUUGAACGAAAAAUUGUGAUGGAAAAUUGGAAUGAGAAGAUUUUAUGAUUUUAUAUAUCAGAUUCCAUAUAAAUAGAUUCCAUAGUUGCAAGGAUGGAUGUGGGUGAAAAGCUACUAGUAUAAGAUUCCUAUAAGAAAAAUAUAGAUAAAAAACAUGUGAUGGCCGAAUGGAAAAGCGCACUUAGUUGACGUGCAGUUGAGAUGUAGACUAUUUUUCCGUAUUUUUGGUCGGGUUAUAGCCCUAGUUAGAUGGGCCUAGGUCCGUGGUUGACUAAACCAUUCAGAAUAGGAGGAUUAGAAGAGAAAGGUCUGAUGAAUCUAACUUUAUUAGAUUGCCCUCUCUCUUUCGUAUCCCUCUAUUAGACAAUUGUUUAUGCAUUUAUAAAUGAAAUAGUUGCUAUAAACAAUAAAAUUACACUUGGGAAUUGAUAAUCGGUAAAGAUUUGUGUUGAUAAUCUGUAAAGAUUGGUAUUGAUAAUCUGUCAGAGAUUGAAGUACAAGGGGCUGCAUCUUUUUUUAGGCUAAAGUCGGAGUGAUCUAGGGGACAAAGAAGAGGUGAAACACAAGCAUUACAAUUAGGGAAGAGGUCCUGAUAAAGGUAUUAUUCUAUGUAUAUUUGUUUUUCCUCUAUCAAUAUUGUAAUGCUAAGUCUUGAAGCCCUUGAUAUAUUCAACGAAUGAGAUUUUAGUCUUUCAUUCACAGUAUAGUUUAGUUGUUCCAAUUUAUAUAUAUGUGCGUGUGCAGAUUGUCUGGCCAUAAUGAGGUUACUUCAAUGAGCAUAUUGACGCCUAAAUGAGUGACACGUGACUAUAAAGUCAGUUGUUAGUUGGUUCAGCUGAAAAGAAAAACUUGGUACUAACUGUGGUUCGUGAUACUCUUCGAAGCGAAUGAAUAAGAAGAAUGAAUCACAACGGCCAUCUUCGUUAAUCAGAGACUCUCUAUUACUUAAAACACCAAAAGUACUGUAGCAGUUGCUGAAAACAGAGAAAUCAUGAAAACAGUUUUUUCACUCUCAGUUUUCAGAUAAUGAUAACUGUUUCAUUUUAUCCAAACCAACUUUUUAACAAUUCAGCAGGCAUUUCCUAUUUAACAGAUAUCUGCAGCUAUUGUAGGAGAAAACAAGAAAGGCUUGGGUGCAAUUUGCAAGGAAUGAAGGGGUCCUUCCAACAUCUCUACAACUUUGCUCAUUGAUGGCCGAUCAGAAGGAUAGUCUGAAUGCACCACAGACUUAUUAAUACCAUCUUUCUUGCUAUUACUUUUUCCUCCUCAUAUAUAGCCCCAAAUGCAUUUUCAUCCUUUUCUAGGUCUAGAUCUUUAUAAACAUAAUGUGGAAACAUUUCAUUCGUACGAGACACUCCCGAAUCCAAAUUCUUUCUUGCUCCAACCAUUUCAAGAACUAACAUACCGCAGCUGUAAACAUCAGAUUUGUGAGAUACUCCACCAAAGUUCCGGCUAAACACUUCUGGUGCAAUGUAUCCUGCAAUUCCUCUUGUCCCCAUCAUCGAUACAAUACUGUCCUUUGUUUUGCAUGGUUUGGCUAGGCCAAAAUCAGCAACUUUAGGGCAAAAAUGUUUGUCUAAAAGAAUGUUCUGUGGCUUUAUGUCAAAAUGCAAAAUUCUUGUGUUACAUCCACGGUGGAGGUAUUAUAGUCCUCUCGCAAUACCAACUGCAAUUUCAGAUAGUGUUUUCAAUUCUAAGGGAAAAUUUGCCAUUCCAGAUCUGUGCUUAUGUAUGAAAUUAUCCAGAGAUCCAUUAGGCAUGUAUUCAUAAAUCAAAGCUCGUUUGUCCCCAUCGUAACAGAAUCCAGAAAGAGUGACUAUGUUGAAAUGGGAGGUUCUACCAAUGCUAGCAACUUCAUUAAUAAAAUGUUCUCCUCCAUUACCCUUGGACAUGCUUAGGACUUUGACCACCACCAGAAGCUCAUCAGGUAGCCUGCCUUUGUACACAGUUCCAUAUCCACCUUUAC